AAGGCUUCCAAACUCUGAUUCUGAAUGGCUUAAGAAGAUUGUCCGCAACAAAGUAGUAGCAAGUGUUGAUGCUCUUCUCAAUGAAAUAAAACCAUGCUCGCCGCCAGUCUGGGUUUAUGUACAAAACUGCAGCUAUUCCCAACAGCACCAUGAUGUACGUCACAACAAAGCUCACACAGAAAACUUGUGCAUCAAUGAAGACGCUACUCUCUUCUUUCUCAUCAGUAGAAGGCCCAGGUGGUGGUGGUACUUCUUUGGUGCAACUGUUAAGCAGUGGUGGUCCACAAAGUAAGGGAUUUCCCUCGUAGCUGCUCUUAUUGAAUGUUGAGAAUUGUGCAACCAUCUCAGGAGUCUUACCAGACAGGUUAUUAUUGGCUACACUAAAAUAGGCAAGAAAAUGCAAUUGUACAAGUUGAGGAGGGAUUUUCCCAUUCAAGCUGUUAUUGGAAAGGUCCAUGCUCUCAACAUCACUCAAAUUUGAAAGAGUUUGUGGGAUUGGGCCUCUUAAAUGAUUGUUGGACAGGUUCAAUACAUGAAUGUGGUUGAGAUUCCCAAUUUCAGGAGGAAUCACACCUGACAAACUGUUGCAGGAGAGAUCCAAUCCGGUCAUGUAAUUCAAAAUACUUGGCGGAUAAGAAUAAGACAGACUCUUUGUUGCAAUAACCAAUGGUUCUGGAAGAGCACUCGUAUAAGGAAUUUUUCCGCGGUGGAUGAACUGAAUAAUGCUUAUAAAUCUUAGGCAAGGUAGAAUAUGACCAGAAAAAUUAUUAUGAGAAAGAUCAAUGAACUUUAAUUUGUUCAACUUGCACAAUUGCGUGGGUAUACUGCCAUCAAGAUUAUUAUAACCCAAGAGAAGAAAGCUCAGUAGGGAAAACUCACCAAUCCAUUUUGGAAUGCUACCAGUCAAAUGAUUAUGGCUAAGAUCCAACGUUAUUAGCUCAAAGGAUUUCUGAAAUGCAUGUUCUAGGGAUCCUUGUAGCAUAUUUUGUGACAGAUAAACAUGCUGGAGGUUUGAAGAGUUAAAGAAAGAUGGUAAGGUUCCAGAGAUGUUGUUAUUUGAGAGGUCCAAAACAUGAAGAUGCAACAGAAAGCCAAAUGAAGAGGGAACGCAACCACUGAAGUUGUUAUCAGACAUGGAUAAAAAUGUUAAACUUGGAAAAUAUGAUCCUAUUUCUCUAGGAAUGUGGCUUUCGAAGUUAUUGUUAGAAAUAUCUAAUUCAGACAAAUUCUGAUGAGGAUGAAUUGGCAAUUGAAAAGUCCCUGAAAGAGAAUUGUUGACCAAUUGGAGAUAAUUGAGGUUUGUGUUGUUCUCUAACAACCAAAUAGGAAACCCUCCCCUCAAUUUCAGGUUAGAAAAAUCAAUUUCUUGGAGGCUAUAUUGAUGGAGGAGGAAUUUGGGAAAGGAAAAUGCUCCACCAUAUCCAUUGCCAGAUAAACGAAGACUCUCUAAUUGGAACUUUGGGGCCAAAUUAUGCUCCUCUAAUUCUUCAACAUAUAUUUCGUUAUUGUUACCAUCGAAAUACUUGAGUUGUGAAUGGUUGAGAAAUGAGCUCAAUGAGACGGGGAUCUGAAAGUGGUUGUCUGAAAGUGAUAACCAUAGGAUGGAUGUGAGACUUGUAAGAGGAGAGAAGGAAAUGUCUCCAAUAAAGGUAUUGUAAGACAAAUCUAAUACUUGAAGGGAUGUCAAAUUUGCCAAACACCAAGGCAAAGCACCAUUGAGAUCAUUCCACCUGAUAUAUAGAUUUUGGAGAUGCUUUAACUGACAUAGGCCUGAGAAUUUAUUGAUUCAUAAAAAUUUUAGUAAGAGAAGAAGCAGAACGCCUAAGGAGGGGAAAGGUGGUCAGACUUACCUUGGGCUUUAAGGAUGGAGCCAUUAAGUCGACAGUCAUCCAAUCUUAAACUCUUUAGAGUAGUAAUCUUCCCGACUGUUUGCAGAAAGCUAUUAUCGAUAGUGGAGGAACUCAAAUCUAGGGUCCUGAGGUUUGAGAAUUUCGUCAAUGAUUGCAGUAAUGUAAAUGGAAGAGCUCUUCCAUUUGAGUUGGUAUUAGAUAAUGAAAUGAGGCUUACAUUUCCAAAACCUCUAGUAUCUGCAGGGGAUAGCAGAAGUAAAACAAAUUUUAAAACCUUUUGAGCUUUUAUUCUUGAGCAAAAUCAUCCGCGAAAAUACAAUUCAAUUAAUGAGAUUUUAGGUUGAUCAAGCGGUAAAGCUACCAUCAAUCAGUGUGGAAAGCAAUCAAUACCUUUGGAUAACACAAAUUUGUCAAUCUCGUUUCCAUCUAGAUACACUUCCUCUAAGUUGAUCAAAGCAUCUAGCUCUAGGUUGUCGAAAAACAGAAAUUUAAUAUUACGUCACAACAAAAAUCACAGAUUGGUUUCUAGGAAUCGAAAAAGAUGAGGUUACCAGUCACAUUGAAUGAUCCUUUCAGUUGGUUGUACUCUAUAGACAGGGAUUUGAGAGAUGAAAGACCCUUGAUGAAUGAUAAGGUACUAUCAUUGAAGCGAUUACCAUCCAAAAGAAGAUCUUCCAGAUUUCUUAACCUUAGUAAGUUGUCACCAGUACCUAUAAAAAUACCAUAAGCUUUCAUGUAACCUGAAAGGAUAAUGGAGUAAUUAUGUGUGAAAACAAAUGCUCAGUCAACUCACAACUCUUUCAUACCAUGAAUGGAUUUAAAGCUUUCAAUUUCAUUGCUACCAAUAUCCAACCGCAGCAAGCUUGUUAGAUUAUUCAGUUCUGGCCAAAUAUAAUUGUACCAAGUACAACAAUUAAAAAAAGGGCAGUAAUUAACAUGGUUUUAUUUGAGAACGAAAAGGAGAGAAGUGAUCACGAUUAAUUACCAUCAACACUAAUUGCUCCUUUGAGUUGGUUACCAGAUAGAUACAGGGUUCUCAAAGAGGAAAGCCCACCAAGGGAUGAAAGGAUGCUGUUGUCGAAUUUGUUAAAGCCUAAAUAGAGAUCCUCCAAGCUGUCAAGUCCUGAUAGUCUUUCAAAACCUGCAUGGGCAUUUCAAUCAGUAGCUUGAAAAAUAUAGAAUCUAUUCUUCUUCUUUUUUCCUGUUGAAAUUGCAGUAGCACGCAAACAAGAGAUAAACCUUCAUUCUCAACACAGCCAACUAUAAAAUUUCCCCUUAAAUCAAGAUGUUGCAGUUCUUGGAAGGGACGAAACAAAGAGACAUUUAGGUACAAAUCUCCCAAUCCCUCUUCCCUUAUGUCUGAAAGAUAAAGUUCGACAACUCGUCCUGUAGUGAAAUUGCAGUCAACGCCUUUCCAAGAACAACAGUCGGCUACUUUUCCCCAAGAUUGAAGGAAUGUGCCGUUUGGGUAAUUAAAGGAGCUUUUAAUCCGCAAGAGAGCACUUCUCUCUUCGUCUAAACAGCCGUGACAUGACCACCAGCUGUGUGAUAAAACCAUAGCAUAAAUCAUCAGUGUCCCUGCUAAAGAAGAGAACCUGUUUAAACCCAUUUGGACUCCUCGAUGAAAUUAUGUAUCGAAAAACAACGGUCAGAGGCUCUUUAUAAAUAAGAUCGUUGGACUGCAAUUUGCAAUAUCACAAUCAAAUGUCAUAAUUUUCCACGGGCCAUAGACAAAGUCCUCUCUUUCGGCUUAUUUUCCAAAUUCAUAUUCUUCGUGGAAAGUGCUAGGCUGGUAUGAGGUUGGAAGGAUUUUAAAUAAAAAGGAUUCUGAAAUACUUUUUUUGUUUUCGCAUGCAAUGUCUUCCCUACGGCAAAAACAGUGCCAUCAGUGUCAGUCUUGUUAAUGGUAGUAGAAAAUUCAAAGAUUCUUGCAGUGAAGAUUUUUAAUCAUUUAGGUUUCACUAAUCGUUUCUUUAAUUUUAUAUAUAUAUUUUUUAUAAACGUUCAGUCUGAAAUAGGUAUUAAAAUAAUAUGAUGUUAAGCCAAAAUGAAUUUAAUAAUAAUAAUAAUAAUAAUAAUAAUAAUAAUAUAAUCAGCUAGUUAAUAUUGUAUUUUAAUAUAAAAUGCAUGUUUGAUAUUAUGAUGUAAAUGUUUUUUACUUAAAAAUAUAUUAAAAUAUUUUUUUUUAAUUUUUUAUAUUUUCAAUAUUAACUUAUCAAAUAAAAAAAAACAAUAAAAAUUAAAUUAAUAUGAUCUUGAGUCAAAUUGAAUUUAAUAAUAAUGGUAUAAUUAGUUAAUUAAUAUUGUAUUUUAAUAUAAAAUAAAUGUAUGAUAUUAUGGUGUACAUAUUUUUUACUUGAAAAUAUAUUAAAAUAUUUUUAAAAAUUUUUAAUAUGAACUUAUCAAAUAAUUUUUUUUUUCAUUUUAACAAGACUGCAACUUUGUCCUUGCAGCGAAGCUCUGCAUUUUUAUUUUUAUUUUGUUUUAUAUAACGUUUCUACCGAGCAAAGUUGCAACAAAACGAAUCAUUUCUUUUCAUUUAUGUUUUGUAGAUUAGCUCCUUUACUAGUCAUAUAGUCCCAUUAUAUUACUGUUAGAUUUGUUAUUGGACGGUUUGAAACAUUAGAUCUGUCAAACUUGCAACGAUUUAUAAUAAAGAUUUAAAAAAGCAUUAACCGCAGCUAUUAAAAACAUGUUUGUUUUUGCAUUUAAAACAGAGAGACCAAUUUGCCAACAAGCUAUUAUAAUACAACCCACAGGUUGAUUGAUGAAACCCUGACCCCAAGAUCUGGGGACCGCUGAAGAACACCUUGAAAAAUCUUGCAUUUUACUCCUACUUUUUACAAGAGACAGAUGAACUGGUCAUCGCGCGCGACGUGUUCCCUACGGCCGAGAAUAAUGCAGUGGCUGUCAGUCAUUCAUCGCUUGACCUGACGAAAAUUACACGCUAUGACGAAGAAGAAGAAGGUUGCUGCAUUCAUUCAUCGCUUGACCUGCCAAGACAAAAGAAAAGAAAGCUGUUAACAGUGGUCCAAAUUGCCAGCCACGAUGUGCCCGCAAGCUUUUUCCCCCCUAUGAAAAACACAUUUUACUAUCUUGGCGUUUAUAAACGGAUGAUUGCGUGUUCUUCGUCAUGUGUAUCAAGAACCCAGUAAAACCAUCUAAGAAGACUGCUGAAAAAAAGAUGGUUUAGAUUUCCUCAGCUGACUUCGAGUCAAGGCGUAGAGCUUCAAUUCCACGCAAUGGAUCAUGUGGUUUGGAUGGAACUGGUCGUCGUCAUCACAUGAUUUUCCAUAUGUAAUAAAGUCUUCUUCAUUUGGCUUAUUGUCCCAUUGAUUCUUCGAGGAAAUUCCCAAGUUUUUGCUUUACAUCAAUAUUAAUUAAAUGGCUGGUAACACACAUGACUCUCGUCUCUCUGUUACGUUCCUUUUACUUUUCACCAUGGUUUUUGAACCCUAUCCAAGGAGCUUAUAUGUCCUAACAACCACCAUUUUGAUGCCUAAUUGAUUUACAUGCUCUACAUUUAAAAGGUUAAAAAAACCAAAUCAUCUAAACCAUGCAAGUCUUGGCUUAGAGCCAGAGACUUUAUAAACAAAAUAUAAAACACAGAAAAACCAAAUCAAAGGAUGCCAAGAUGAUUUUCACUCCAUCUAUUGGACAUUGCGAGCAUCCUCUGAGAGUUAAGUUGCAUCGGUUUUUCUUCUGUUAUAUGCUCCAGAUAUUGAUGCUCGUAGACGGAGAAAACAUAUGCAUAAGAAGCAUAGCUCAUGUUCUUUGUUUAAAAUUUUUACUUGAAAACAUAUUAAAAUAUUGUUUAAAAUUUUUAACAUUAACUUAUCAAAUAAUAAAAAAAGCAAUAAAAUGUUUUCAAUUUAACAAGACUGCUUUUCUUUCAUUUAUUCUUUGUAGAUUAGUUCCUUUACUAGUCAUAUAGUCCCAUUAUAUUACUGUUAGAUUUGUUAUUGGACGGUUUGAAACAUUAGAUCUGGUCAUCGCGCGCGACGUGUUCCCUACGGGCGAGAAUAAUGCAGUCUUGUUAGUGGUUGACGAAGAAGAAGGUUGCUGCAUUCAUUCAUCGCUUGACCUGAUGAUGGCUCGAUGGGCCACCAGCUGCUAAGACAAAAGAAAAGAAAGCUGUUAACAGUGGUCCAAACUGCCAGCCACGAUGUGCCCGCAAGCUUUUUUCCUCCUAUGGAAAACACAUUUUACUAUCUUGGCGUUUAUAAACGGAUGGUUGCGUGUUCUUCGUCAUGUGUAUCAAGAACCCAGUAAAACCAUCCAAAAAGUCUACUGAAAAAAAGAUGGUUUAGAUUUCCUCAGCUGACCGUCAAGGCGUAGAGCUUCAAUUCCACGCAAUGGAUCCUGUGGUUUGGAUGGAAUUGGUCGUCGUCAUCACAUGAUUUUCCAUAUGUAAUAAAGUCUUCUUUAUUUGGCUUAUUGUCCCAUUGAUUCUUCGAGGAAAUUCCCAAGUUUUUGCUUUACAUCAAUAUUAAUUAAAUGGCUGGUAACACACAUGACUCUCGUCUCUCUGUUACGUUCCUUUUACUUUUCACCAUGGUUUUUGAACCCUAUCCAAGGAGCUUAUAUGUCCUAACAACCACCAUUUUGAUGCCUAAUUGAUUUACAUGCUCUACAUUUAAAAGGUUAAAAAAACCAAAUCAUCUAAACCAUGCAAGUCUUGGCUUAGAGCCAGUGACUUUAUAAACAAAAUAUAAAACACAGAAAAACCAAAUCAAAGGAUGCCAAGAUGAUUUUCAUUCUCAAAUUGUGUCAUGAUGGGGCUUAGUUCUAGGAAUAACACUGUCACUCCAUCUAUUGGACAUUGCGAGCAUCCUCUGAGAAUUAAGUUGCAUCGGUUUUUCUUCUGUUAUAUGCUCCAGAUAUUGAUGCUCGUAGACGGAGAAAACAUAUGCAUAAGAAGCAUAGCUCAUGUUCUGCCAAAAUGUCAUAUAAAAUUCUUUAGUAAUAUUCGACCGGUUGAUUACAUAUAAAAUUAUGUUAAACAAAAUCUUGAAAUUAGCAAGAGUAAUUAUAUUUCAUGACUCUCAGAGGCACCAAAUGGAUUUCCGCUUAUUCGUUGACAUGAUUCAUUCAACUUAUACGUCUCGGUCACUUUUCAAGCCAAAUAAAUCUCCUCUGUUUACCAAGAAACUCAAGACAAAGGUUGCUUAGCAUCCAUGUAUUAUAAUUCUACAGAAUGCUUUCACAUCUGUAAGAAAAUGCUGGCGUUCAUGUUAUAGAAGUCAUCCUGUAGCCUGGUGCCAAGACUGGAAGGCAUGUAAGCCAGGCUUGAUUCGAAUGAAUCGCUAUAAAUGUACUUGAUUUGAAGCUACUUGUACUUGGUGCUUUGCCAAACAUAGAAAGGCAUUGCCCUUUCCAUUGUUAAUUUAACCUGUAAUAUCCUUUAUGCUAUCAAUGAACCUGCCCUGAAAAAGUAGAACUUGAUGCUAGUGCAGGUAUUCGGUCAUUCCGUCUUUUUUUACUGUUUUCUUCUUUCAUUUUUCAAUUAAUCAUGUUUAAGCCUAAAGCGCCGCGUGUUAAGUAAUUUCAUUUUCUUGGUGAUAAAUUACAGUAAUUUUUUUAAAACUUGACUCGGAAUCUACCAGAAACAACGUCUAGAUCGUAGGUUACUCGGAAUCUACCAGAAACAACGUCUAGAUCGUAGGUUAGGAAAAUACAUCCAAGUUGACUUAAAUUGAAAAAAAUAAUCAAAGGAUCAUUGUUUUGACCAAAAACAAUUCAAAAAAAGUCAAUGGAUUUUUAAUUUGUAUUUUGUUAUGGGUCGGCCAGGUUGCAAGGCUAACCCAAGUUUUUGAUUGUGUUAGGUUGGAUCAAUUCUUUUUUUUCCUUUUUUUUUUUAACUCGAAUUGGUCAAAGCAUUGAGUUGAUCAGAUCCAUCUAUUAUCUUUGAAACACAUAAUAAAACAAAUUGUUGAGUCUUGUUCAAAGCAUGUUAAACACAAGACAAGAUAAUUAUUUCUUUAGUCAUGUCCUAUCCACUCUAGUCCAAUUAAUAAUGUCCAACAUACCAAAACCUACCUAAUAAAACCUGGCUUAUAAAAUAUGCUUGCAAAAUUUUAACUAGAUUCAAUGAUUGAAUUAAAAAUUAUAUAUAUUUUUUUAGCAAGCUCAUUUGACUCGUCCUAAUUUGUUUUUAAGUCCAAACCCUAUAAAAAAAAAAGGUUAAGAAAUCAUGAAGCUCAACUUUCAACAAAUACAUAAUUGAAAGAUAAAAUUAAAAAGAAAAAUUCAUGUAAAAAGAGAGCUAAGAAAACCGAUAUCAAGCUAGGUUAACCUUUCAAAUUUAUAAUCUGGGUCAUGAUACCAAAAUCACCUUAUCCAAAAAAUUAUGAAGCCCAACUUAUAACAAAUCUAAUGUUUAAGAAUGAAAUUGAAUUUUUUUAAAAAAACACAAAAUAAAAAAUUACAAUUAAAAAAAUGAGGAUCAAAUAUAACAUAAAAAUAAAAUGACAAGACACCUAGUAAUUUUGGUAAACCAACUCGAAUCCGAGGAGAGGAGAAAGAAAAAAGAAAGGAGAAGAAAGAAAAGGUUGCUAACGCCUCUCUCUUGACACACAUCACACCAUUGGCAAGAGCUCGCUAUGUUGCUUUAAAUAGAACUGUGGACGACAAUGUUCCAACAUCUGAAGAAGUUGCACUUGCCCAGAGCGUGGAGGCUUCCCCACACGUUGUCAUGUGCAUUUCACACGCCAACCAAAUUAUCUUGCUUGUCCUUUUCAGUUCCUAAGAGUAUUUUUCUGUUUCAAAUUUGAUCAUCUAAGCCUUAAUUAUUUUAGAUGAAUAAAUUAAAUUUUGUCUUGCAAAACUAAGAAUCAAACAUAUAUAAAAUUUUUUCCUCAACACCAUGGAAUCCUAGCAUCUAGGCAAUAACAAAAAAUUAAGUCCAAUCACAAGUAACCUCAAUUUAAAAGGAUCAAUUUUUUUUUUUAAAAAAUGAGGGACAAAAACAAAGGGGUUGAAUUUCUCAUUUGCUCAUGCAAUAUUUUAGUCCUUGAUGUUUGCAAGAAAAAAGAGCUUAAUACUUGUCUAAUGCUCAAAUAUGGUUUAUUAGCUUUAAUUUUUUAAUUCAAUUUAUUUUCAUUUAAUCUUUCCAAAUCAAAGCAUUGAUCGAGAGUCGAUUUUGUUUCUCAACACCACAAGUAGCCAAUACCAAGCCAAACAAAACGAAACAAAUAAUAAAACUCAAUUUCAAAUUAAUCUAAUAUAAAAAAAUCAAAUAAAAAAAUUCAAGUGAUGAAAAAAAAAACUAAAAAGAAAAAGAAAACAUUAAGUGAAUCCAUAAUGUUUUCUCUCAUAAUGCACAUGAAAAGUCUGAUCUUUUUUAUUUUUAUUUUCUAUAUGCAUAAACAUUUGAUGAUAAGGAAAAAUUGGUGUUUUGAAUUGAUGACCAAUAGAUUCACUCUAGGAUUUUAAUUUUUGAGUUGGAACUUAUGACUUUUUUUUUUUUUAAGUUAAUAUAAAUUAAUUUUAUGAACUCGUGACUCAAUAAUCACAACAAGUUUUCAAUUUAAUAACCAUGCCAUUUAAUUCUAGUGAUUUAUUUUAUCACCAAGUAAUUAUUACUUCAUAAAAUUAAUAUUAUUGAUGAAUAUACAUAGAUUUGGAAUUGUAAUUAAUGGAAGUUUACUUUUGCUAAAACAAAAGAAUAAAAAUAAAAGCUUGCUUAGAUAUUUGAAGGAUUUCUCGAUUUCAAGUGGCACUAAAUUAAAGUUUAUUUAAUAAAGAAUUAAAUUGAUUUUUGAAAGUACAUGAUUGUAAAAGAUAUGCAAAUGCAUGUCUACCAUGUUCAAUAGUUUUCAGCAUAAUUGCCAUAUUUCUCCAUAAUAGAAAAAAACUUGCGAAUGAAUUGCAAAAAAGAAAGCAUGAAAAUGUUGAUUGCCCGCAUGACUGUUUAUCCUCAAUUUAUAUGUUCAUGAUAGCUACUCCAUGGACGCCUUGUUCUUUAAUAUCACAGGAUAAUGAUUGAUUCUUCAACAUUCAUUCUCAUGAAUUCAAGAAAUUAUCUCAUCUAAUCUAAGCUUGACGGUAAAAUAAAUAUUAUUGUCUUAUAUCUCAUUUAAUUUCUUAAAAUUGAACCAUAAAAAUUAAAAGAAAUUAUCUAGUCAUAAAAAACGAAAUAAAUAUUAAUAUGAAGUUUGAGAGUGUGGUUGUGAUUGUUUUUUAAAGUGUUUUUCACUCUGAAAUGUAUUAAAAUAAUAUUUUUUAAAAAAAUUAUUUUUGACAUCAACAUCAAAAUAAUUUGAAACACAAAAACAAACAAGGUUUCAACAUAUUGCAAUCAAGAUAGUAUUUGUUUAGUAUUGUGACGCAUGGAUUUUUUUUAAUAUUUUGUAUUUAAAAAUAUAUUAAAAUAAUUUUUUCUAUAUUUUUUAAAUUUUUUAUAUCAAAACAUCACAAUCAUAAAAAAUACUAAAAAUAAAGUGAUUUGAUAUUUUUAUAGUAAAAUAUACUUUUAAAAUACAUUAAAAAAAUAAAGUUACUUCCUUUUCAAAUGAUGACGUGAUUAAAAAAUUAUAAAAAUUUACUCUUAAAAAUCAAAUUAUACCAGUAUACCAAACAUAUAAUAAAAGGUAUCUGACCCAAUCAACAAGAAAGAAAAAAGAUACUUCGGUUGUCUUAUUAAAUUAACGGAAUCCAAACAACCUUUAUUUCAUCCAAUCGUACAUUGGCACCUGAUCUUAAUCCAACGGCCUAAAGUUAUCGUGACUAUAUAUUUACAGAAACGUCACCCACAACUGUCGUGGCAUGGCCUCCGAUUCGAGACGGAAGUUAUAAUGCCCAGGGCAGGUUAGGUGAUGAUGUCGGGAAAUAGGCCCUGUCCAGUUGAAACCUUAAACUGACAAAGGGGCCCACAAGAAUUGCUUAAAUGUCCAAAUUCCAAAAAGGUCCCAAAUCAUACGGGGAUUGUUGCCAUCAACAAGGUUGGUUUCGUACUUUGGAAACUAGAAAUUAACACGCUUAGAUUUUAGGGAAACCCUCAAAUCAGACCCAUAAUAUAUUAUUCUAUCACUAAUGGAGUCCUAAUAAAAAUACUUUAUCAAUUAAGUCCUCCGUGCUUAAGAAGUUUCUCAUUAGGUGCUUCUUUCCACUGGCCAUAGACAAAGUCCUCUCUUCGUGGAAAGUGCUAGGCUGUUAGCGUUUCCUCCGUAGUUCUGAAAUACGGCCCCACCGCGCGACUUACAAUAGAGAAAUAGAGAAAUAGACAAGUGAAAUGGUCUUUCCAUGCAAUGUCUUCCCUACGGCAAAGACAGCGCGCCAUCAAUAUCAGUCUUGUUAGUGGUCGUUGAAAAUGACAUCUCAACCACACAUAAACAAGUUGCUAUUUUAACUUUAAUUUGAUAAUAAAUAAUAAAUAUGAUGGGUACAAAGGGGAGAAUAUACAUGAUAAACUUUUUUUGUUUUCUACAAUAAUAGAGAAAUAGACAAAUGAAAUGGUGUCUUCCCUACGGCAAAAACAGUGCAUGUUAAUAUUGUAUUUUUAUAUAAAAUGCAUGUUUGAUAUUAUGAUGUAAUUGUUUUAUACUUAAAAAUAUAUUAAAAUAUAUUUUUUAAAAUUUUUUAUAUUUUCAAUAUUAACUUAUCAAAUAAUAAAAAACAAUAAAAAUUAAAAUAAUAUAAUCUUGAGUCAAAUUGAAUUUAAUAAUAAUGGUAUAAUUAGUUAAUUAAUAUUGUAUUUUAAUAUAAAAUAAAUGUAUGAUAUUAUGGUGUAAAUUUUUUUACUUGAAAACAUAUUAAAAUAUUGUUUAAAAUUUUUAACAUUAACUUAUCAAAUAAUAAAAAAAGCAGUAAAAUGUUUUCAAUUUAACAAGACUGCAACUUUGUCCUUGCAGCCCAGCUCUACCGUUUUUUUUUCAAAGUGGGGGCUUCUGCUUUUUUUUUUCUAACAUUUCUACCGAGCAAAGUUGCAACAGAACGAAUCAUUUCUUUUCAUUUAUGCUUUAUAGAUUAGUUCCUUUACUAGUCAUAUAGUCCCAUUAUAUUACUGUUAGAUUUGUUAUUGGACGGUUUGAAACAUUAGAUCUGUCAAACUUGCAACGAUUUAUAAUAAAGAUUUAAAAAAGCAUUAACCGCAGCUAUUAAAAACAUGUUUGUUAUUGCAUUUAAAACAGAGAGACCAAUUUGCCAACAAGCUAUUAUAAUACAACCCACAGGUUGAUUGAUGAAACCCCGACCCCAAGAUCUGGGGACCGCUGAAGAACACAUUGAAAAAUCUUGCAUUUUACCUUAGUUUUUACAAGAGACAGAUGAACUGUCAUCGCGCGCGACGUGUUCCCUACGGCGAAAAUAAUGCAGUGGCUGUCAGCUUGUUAGUGGUUGUGGAAAAUUACACGCUAUGAACAAAGAAGAAGGUUGCUGCAUUCAUUCUUCUUUAUUUGGCUUAUUGUCCCGUUAAUUCUUCGAGGAAAUUCCCAAGUUUUUGUUUUACAUCAUAUUAAUUCAAUGGCUGGUAACACACACGACUCUCGUCUCUCUGUUACGUUCCUUUUACUUUUCACCAUGGUUUUUGAACCCUAUCCAAGGUUGAUCUGGAGCAAAUCUUGGAUUGUGGGUCAGGUGAAACUUGAGAAGGUUAUUUAUCAAGAACUCUCAAAUCCUACCAAUGUCAAUUCUAACUUAAGCAACAUCGUCUUUUUAUUUGUUAAUAAUAUAUUAAAUAAAAAUCAAGAUUCAAAUUAAUUUAAAUAAUAUAGUUAAAUGAAAACAAGAUUUCAAUUAAUUUCACUCUUUCUUUUAUUUUUUUUUCAAAACCUUCACCAUUCUAAUCCUUCUCAGCUAUCAUGUCUCCCUUCUUUGAUAUUGUUAUCAAAUAGCAAAAGUGCAAAUAAUCAUGCUCUUGGAGACAGAUUUGUCAGAGAGUCGCCGUGCGGAAUAACCUUCACCAUUCUAAUCCUUCUCAGCUAUCAUGGCUCACCUUCUUGGUUCUGGCUGGUGCCUGCGGUUUGGGCUCCAUCUUGAACAUUAUUAUAAAUAGCUAAAAGAUAUCAGUGUUUUAGAAAAAGCAUUGAUUCAUGUUGUUUUAUGUUUUUUUUUUUAAGUUGUUUUUUUAUGUUUUUAAAAAAUUAUUUUUUGCUUUUUUCUUUGUUUUUUUUCUUUUAACAAUUUUUUUUUAAUUUAGUUUAUUAAUGUUUUAUUAAUGUUAAAUUUUUUUAUUUAGUUAUCAGACUUUCACGACACGUUUUCCGGAUUUAAUGAGUUAACCUGGUUUGACAAGUUAACCUAUAAUUUUUUUUAUUUGCUUUUUAUUAUUUUUAAUUAAUUUUUUUAGUUUAGUUUAGUUGUUAAUGUUAAAUUUCUUUCUAUUUAGUUAUUAGACUUUCAUGACAUAUAUCCCGAGUUUCACGGGUUAACCUGGUUUCACGGGCGAACCCAGUUAAUUUUGGGUUGACCCGUCAAUUUAUUUAUUUUUUAUUUUCAUAAAUUUUUUUGUUUAAUUUAGUUUGUUAAUGUUAAAAUUUUUUUUAUUUAGUUAUCAGACUUUCAUGACAUAGAUCCUAGGUUUAACGGGUUAACAUGGUUUGACAAGUUAACCUGGAUUUGUUUUUUGAUUUUUUCUUUUUAAUUAAUUUUUUUCGUUUAGUUCAGUUUGUUAAUGUUCACUUUUUUUUUUAAUUACCAGACAUUCAUGACAUCGAUCCGGGGUUUAACGGGUUAACUUGGUUUGACGAGUUAACCUGAUUUUUUUUUUUUGCUUUUUUUUUUUCUUUUAAAUUAAUUUUUUUCGUUUAAUUUAAAUUGUUGAUGUUAAAUUUUUUUCUAUUUAGUUAUCAAACUUUCAUGACACGGAUUCUAGGUUUGACAGGUUAACCUGGUUUAACGAGUUAGCCCAGUUAAUUCUGGGUUAACCCAUUAAUUUGUUUUUUCAUUUUUAAUUAUCAAACUUUCACGAUGCGAAUUCAAGGUAUGACGGGUUAGCCUGGUUUGAAGGGUUAACCCAAUUAAUUCAUUUUUUUUUCUUUUUCUUCAUUAGUUUUUUUCUUCAUGUUGGUUUUUUUUCAUUGUUUUUUUCUUUUUAACUAAUCUAUUUAAUUAUCACACUUUUAUAACACGACCUUGCAGUUAAACCCACGUCCAAUGCUAUUGGGUCUGGUAUUGCAGUCCAGACACUUUUAUGCUAAGGGUUAACCCAAGUUUAAUGUUAUUGUUAAUAUUAUAAAUAUUACUUUUGGAUCAGGCGUUGCAACUAAACCUGAGACUUUUGGGUAUAACUUUGCAAAAAAAACCUAACAUUUUUAGAUCUUGACUAUUUUUGAAAUGCAAAAAAUAAUUGACUCGUGGCAUCGCGCGGGGCAUAUAACUAGUUCUAACUACGAGGAUAAGGCCUGUCUAUGAGAUGCUUUAUGCUGGGGGUUCUUUCAGGCUUCCUCAAACUUCAAAUCACUAAGAUGCUCGAAGUGGAAUAUGAUAAGUUGAGGCCAUGGGAAGCCAUUCUCCUGAAGCACAUGACAUGGUAGAUAUUCCGGCUAUGUAAAUUCACUUUUUUAGAAUUUGCACAAUGCGUUGCAAGUUUGAGUGCCAACCCAGGAAAUCAACAGUCAUCUAAUUUAGUGUAAUGGUUCAGCUCAAAUCUUUGAGUGGUUUUUUUGAAUUGGAUAACUGCUGUUUUCGAUCUAUAAUUUAGUUUAGAUUGCAUGCAUUUUUAUAUAAUUAAGUUCAUCAUGAUCAAAAUAAAAUCAUGGCAUACAUAUUAAAUAGACAUUAAAACUUGCAAUGUAUAGCAAAACAAUUUUUUUUUUUCCGGAUAAAAGUUACUGUAUUAAAGGGAAGAAACUAUAUAAAGCACGAGGAGCAUACGUCAAGAAGUAUAAAUGCUUGUUACCUAGUCUAUUUGACAAAAAAUAACAAGAAAACGAAGCAAAAGGUAUAAAAAAACUAAAAAAGAACAAAAGCAGAUUGUGAAAAUAAAUAGUAGAUGAGUCAAUUGACAGGUUGAUUACAUAUAAAACUAUGAUAAACAAAAUUUCAAAAUUAGCAAGAGUAAUUAUAUUUCAUGACUCUCAGAGGCACCAAAUGGAACUGAAAAUAGCUGGGAUAUGAAACCUGGUUCGAGCUCUAUGAAACGGGACUGAACCAAAUAAAAAAUGUCUUUGCAAAUAUCCUGAUGAGAUCAAUAAAUCUUAUGAAAAACUUGAUUAUUUCUCUCACACUAGAUGAAGUAAAUUGAGGUAGAAAAGGCUAGCCAAGUAAAUUGAGUUUCUGUGUUACUGUUCAAUAACUGAUAAAAGUUUUCCCCAGCGGGCAUCAAACUAGCUGGAAACAAAAAGAAAAACACACGCCGUGUCAUGCCAGAGGGGAAGAAGCACCAAAUGGGACGUUAUUAAUUCGAGACUGUAAAACAUAUAUCCAUAGAAUCAAUACGGAGACAGUGGGAUUGUUAAUCCAACAACGUAAAAUAUUAGCUUUCCAUGAUGGUUUAGCAUUUUACCAAAAAAAUAUAUCACACUUUCUACUUGUUUAUAAGCUCUACUCGUUUUGAAAUCCACCCUCUUAAAGAAACUGAAUUCUUAGUUUUUCCACUAAAAAAAUCCUUGAUUUUUCUAGAAUAUUUAAUUCUUGAUUUAUAGUGUUAACUAAGAACAAGAUCCUCUCCGAACAAUUUUAAUUAACAAUAAUUAGUUGUUUGAUUAACAGUACUUUCGGACCAUUGUUGUUUAAUUAUCAAAUUAUGUGAUAAUUAAUGAAGUCGGUGCUAGAAUUAACGAAUUAUUAAAAAAGAAAAAAAAUUGAGACAGAUUAGUUUAUUGCAUAAUUUUAACGCCGAACCAACGGAUGAGAAAAUAUUAGCAUUGGUUGAGUAAAAAGAAUAAGGACCAUUUGUAAACAUGCCAAAUAAAUGGAGGGCAUAUUUCUAUUUUUCCUCUCGUCAUUUCUUCAUAUCUUUCACUUCAGAGUUGGGAUUACUUCCUCUGUACUCAAAUAUUUUUCCAGAUCGAGGCAAGUCCUUCAGACAUCUUGAUCUUUAAAAUAUGCAGCCACUACCUACUUGGGCUAUCUUUAAUGAUCAUGUUGUAAUCCAUUUUUGGGUCUCCACAAAAAAAUAAAGUAAAUAGCCAAAGAAGUUCAGAAAAUGGUCGGAAGAUUGGUCAAGGAAGUUAAAAAAUACAAAAAUUGGAUUUUUGACAGUAUUUUCUUGAAGGAUGAGAGCCCUGUUGAGAAGGAAAAUUUGAAUUUUGAGGAGAAAAGCCCAAAUUUGGAUGUUUAUGGACUUAAUUGGAUUUUAUUUGAAUUUAUAGAGGAUUUGAGUGCAAGAAAAAUUGAUUUUUAAGUCAAUUUGGGCUUUAAUUAGAAGAAAUUUAAGUUCUGGGGCCAAAAUAUUUUUUUUUGGAAUUUAUUAGGUCAAAUCAGGGGCUUAAUUGCAUAAAUAUUGAAGUUUAAUAGCCAAUUAGGGGCUCAAUUGUGAAAAUCCGAAACCAGGGACCAAUUUGGAGAACGCGGGUAAAUAGAGGGGGCUGUUUUGAAUUGAUCCAGGGGCGUAAUUGAAGAAAUUGGAAGUUUAUUGAUCAAUUGAGGGCUUAAUUGCAUAAAUCAGAGGCCAAGGAUCAAGGUGAAAAACGCGGCCAACUACGGGGGCGAGGACCGAAAUUGGCAGGGACGCAAUUGAAAGAAACAAAAGAUAAUUAAGGGUUGAUUUGAAAUUUGGCGCUUUCUGGCGCCAUUUUUAAAUGAAACGGCGCGUUUUCCCCAAAACAACGUCGUUUCAUACACAAAAAAAAAAGGACCGAACGGUGCCGUUUUGAACGGCACUGUUCCCCUUUCUUCUUCCCCCUGAACGUGCAGCAAGCAUGGGAAGAAAACUUGUUUAAUCAUCCGGUGCCGCUCUCUCCUCGCGUGCGCUGACAAUACCACGUUGCCCUGCUCAACCCAUGCUGUCCUGCUCCUCACGCUGCCCUGCUCAACCCAUGCAGCCCCGCUCCCUUUGCCCCCCUAUAAAAGAAGGGGGGAGACCUGAAGCAAAGCAGGAAGAAAGAAAACGAAAAAAAACCGAGACCAAUAGAGAGAGAUAAGAAAAAAAACCGGGGGAAGAAAAACGAACCAGAGAAAAAGGAGACUGAAACCGAAGGGAAGUUGAACGAGAGAAGAGAGAACGGAGAGAAAGGAAGGAAAGAAUACCGGGGGGGAGUUUUUGAACAAAGAGAGAAAACGAAAUAGAGAGAGGAGGGAAGAAGUCAGGGAAGUUUGAAACAGAAGGGGGAGCACAGACACACCAGUAUUGCCAAGGAUCGUCAUUUUUUAGCUCAUCAUUCUUCACACACGUUGUAACACCAUAGAAGAAAAGGAAGAGGCCUGCACCUCGGUACAAACAGAGAAAACAGCGGCAAAACACCGCCCGCCACCGCAGAGAAGACCCACCGUCGCACUGCCAUCAUCAUCACCGCCAGCUGCCACUGUCUUCCCAUCCGACAACAACACCGUGAGGAACAGAAUGAGGAAGCAGAAGCAGAGGAGAACAUAGCUGAAGAAAAAAAAACACAGAGAAGAAAGAAAAGCCGACCACCGUCCAAGCCACUCAUUAGGCCGCCGCCACCAGCACCUCCACGAAGCAGCUGCAGAGAGGGAAGAACAUUGUUGACAGAGGGAGCAAAGGAAAUAAAGAGAAGAACAACGCCAAAACAGUAAGGAAGAGGAAGAGGAGCCGCAGCAACGCCACCGCCAAACCAGCCACUGCCACUGUCAGAACCAUCGUGAGCCCUCAUUGGCUUCCUCUCCACCGCCACCAGCAUCACUGUGAGUGUUCGGCGUCGUCUUCGCUCCUUUCGGUUCCACGUCCAGGUAAGCGUUUUGCGUCUCUGUGCAGGUGAUUUCCUUUGGCAUUUUCACUGUGCAAGUGAAUUAUAAUUCACUUGAACAGUGAAAUGCAAAUGUUACUGUUCAAGUGAAUUAUAAUUCAAUUGAACAGUACCAUAUGUUACUAUGUGUGUCUUCUUUUGCAUGUUACUGUGCGCGGUUUCGUUUUGCAUUUUUACUGUUCAUAGUGAAUUAUAAUUCACUUGAACAGUACCAUUUGUGUAUGGUAUUAAGGAUGCACGCGUGAGCUUCCACCCAGGACACUGGCUCGGGCUAGUGACCUGGUUAGGCCUGCUGGGUCAAGCCCAGCCAUAUGGGCCGAACGGGGCCCAACCUAAAUUUUUUUUAUUUAUUUAAAAAUAAAAAUUCUGCAAAAAAAAUUAUUUUGAAAAAUAAGUGAUUUUCUGCAAUUCUGUUACUGCAUUUUGAUCAAUAUCGGUUUGUAUUUUUAUACUGUAAAGAUACAGAUCCGGUAUUAAAAUACUCGAUUUUCGUCAAGUCAUCAAAAAAAUAAAAAGUAAAAAAAAUGUUUUGUUUUCAUGCAUACGGCCUAGUCUCUCCAAUAUAUAUAUAUAAAUAUUAUAACAUCGUAUUUUCACACAACAAAGGAAAUUUCAAAACAAUAUAUGUAUUAGCAUGCAUUUUGGCUUUAAUAACCAGUUUAUUCAAGCCAUGAGAACUAGGCCAAUAUUUCAAAAAUUCCAAAAAAAUUAUUGUGUUUUCUUUUAGUAUAUGGGGUUACGAUCUUAUACGUAAGACGUAUUCCGAAUAUUAAAUUCUUUUGCCAUUAAGAUGAGGAUCUCCUUACCGAGGAGGACUUUUUUGAACCAUACCAACAACUAGGAAAGCACGAAAAGACCUUAGAUUUUAUCAGACAAUAAAACAAUGCAGCUUACCUUAGGUAAGGCGUAUUUGGGGUGCUAAUACCUUCCCUUUACGCAACCAGUCCCCGUACCCGAUCUUUGAGACCAGUUAGGGUUCCUAGUGACCAAAAUACUAGGUGGCGACUCCCAUUCCAUUUUCCACCCACAAAAGACAAUUUUUUCUUGUAUCCCCAUAGAUAUAGAUAGAAUUACAUUGUAGAUAAGAAAAUGGAACAACUAUAUAAUUUUCACCGUGACGCCGCACACGUGCGACAGAAUGGCGACUCCGCUGGGGACCUUGUAGAUUAAGCUUUGUUUUUGUCUGAUUUGUUUGUGUUUUCGUGUGUUUAUUGUUCAUAUGCCUUUCCUUUUAUUUGAGUAAUUUUUUUUUAUUUUUUUUUACGCGUAUUAUUCAUGCAUUGUGUAAAAUUGUCUCAUGCAUCACUUGCUUUUAUUUUGAGAAGCACACACAAGCCUUAAGUUAAGUGGGGAAUUAGCGAAUUACCCUAAGACUAUUGGUCAGGGUUUAAAUGCGUGAAACACCCAACUCAUAUCUGAGUGCCUGCUUGGUAAUGGUGGGCAUACGUGUCUUAACUAUUCCUUGCAACGCCCCCAUACCGUCUUUACGAAGAACGUCACUGGGCAGAUAUGAAACCCUUCAAGACUAGAUAGAAAACCUACCCACUCUCACUUAAUAAAUAGAGCUUAUCCUUAGGUUAUGUAUCUUAUUUGCAUCAAGAUUAAUAAUGUUAAACUCAUCGCACAUCACUUGUGCAUCACAUCUUCAUCACGCAUUUUUGUUUUUACAUUAUCAUAUGCAUUCCAGAUCGUGAAACAUAGGUCCCACGUCCAGAGUCCACCACACCCGGUUCAGAUGAAGGAUGAAGAAUACUGUAGAGUCAUCAAAACCUCAAGGAUGUGUUGCAAGCACCUUAGAAGAUGGAGAGGUUUUAUAUAGUGAAUCAACAACAAUCUCUACAGAUAGAGAAGAGCUCACUGAGGUCUGGCUAAUGGAUUCAGGAGUAACAUGGCAUAUGACUCCUAAUCGGGAUUGGUUCCAUACAUAUGAACCCAUCUCUGGAGGCACAGUGUUCAUGGGUGAUAAUCAUGUAUUAGAGAUUGAUGGCAUUGGCACCAUCAAAUUGAAGAUGUAUGAUGGCUUAAUUCGUACUAUUUCAGGAGUGCGACAUGUGAAAGACUUAAAGAAGAAUCUUUUAUCCGUAGGACAAUUUGAUAGUCUUGGCUGUAAGAUUCGAACAGACAAUGGAAUCAUGAAAAUUGUCAAAGGCACGCUAGUGGUUUUAAAGGCAAGAAAGACAAUUGCAAACAUGUUUGUAGUAAUGAGAGAAAUACAUCAUGGGGCAGAAGUGUCAAUCGCAUCAGCCAGUCCUGCAGAAGAGAAGACGAUGAUGUGGCAUCAAAAACUAGGCCACAUGUCAGAGAAAGGUUUAAAGGUUCUCUCUGAUCAGAAGUUACUCCCUGGGCUUACAAAGGUUACUUUACCUUUUUGUGAGCACUGUGUUACAAGUAAACAACACAGGUUGAAGUUUGGCACGUCAACAACUAAGAGCAAAUGCAUCUUAGACCUGAUUCACUCUGAUGUUUGGCAAGCACCGGUUGUAUCCUUGGGAGGAGCAAGAUACUUUGUAUCAUUCAUAGAUGACUUCUCCAGGAGAUGUUGGGUGUAUCCGAUUAGAAGGAAGGCAGAUGUGUUCAGUUUUUAAAACCUUCAAAGCGCGGGUAGAACUUGAAUCUGAAAAGAAGAUCAAGUGUUUGAGGACUGACAAUGGAGGAGAAUAUACCAGUGAUGAAUUUGAUAACUUCUGUCAACAUGAAGGUAUCAAAAGGCAGUUCACAACGGCAUACACUCCACAACAAAAUGGAGUGGCAGAGCGGAUGAACAGAACUCUAUUGGAAAGAACAAGAGCAAUGUUGAAGGCUGCAGGUCUAGAAAAGUCAUUCUGGGCAGAAGCAGUCAAUACCGCCUGUUAUGUGAUAAAUCGAUCUCCGUCAACUGCAAUUGAGUUGAAGACACCGAUGGAGAUGUGGACUGGAAAGCCAGCUGAUUAUUCUCGAUUGCAUAUAUUUGGAAGUCCUGUGUACGUGAUGUACAAUACUCAAGAGUCAGCAAGCUGGAUUCAAAAUCCAGAAAAUGUAUUCUUGGGAUAUGCUGAUGGAGUGAAGGGGUAUCGCUUGUGGGAUCCCACUGCCCACAAGGUAGUCAUCAGCAGAGAUGUCAUAUUUGCAGAAGAUAAAAUGCAAAUGGAAGAAAAUAAUAGCAUUUUAAAGGAGACUACAGAAGUCCAGAUGGAAAAUACUCAGAAUCAUACUUCUUCUGAAGCUGCACCAAAGCAUGAAGAACAAGAACAAAUAGAGUCUGAAACUCUUGAAGUUCGAUGGUCAACUUGUGAAAGAAGACCACCGGCUUGGCACUCAGAAUAUGUUACUGAGAGCAAUAUUGCAUACUGUCUUCUAACAGAGGAUGGAGAGCCAUCAACUUUCCAUGAGGCUAUCAAAAGCACAGAUGUAUCUAUAUGGAUGACAACAAUGCAAGAGGAGAUUGAAGCUCUGCACAAGAAUAACACUUGGGAUCUUGUUCCGCCAUUGGCAACAAAUGGGUUUACAAGAUAAAGCGUGAUGGAAAUGAUCAAGUGGAGCGGUAUCGUGCAAGAUUGGUGGUGAAAGGAUAUGCUCAGAAAGAAGGAAUAGACUUCAAUGAGAUAUUUUCUCUGGUGGUAUGACUUACUACAAUCAGAGUAGUUUUGGCGAUGUGUGCUAUAUUUGAUCUUCACUUAGAGUAGUUAGAUGUGAAAACUGCAUUUCUUCAUGGAGAACUUGAAGAAGAAAUUUAUAUGCUCCAACCAGAGGGUUUUGCUGAAACAGGCAAGGAGAACUUGGUUUGCAGGUUGAACAAAUCUCUAUACGGUCUCAAACAGGCGCCGAGGUGUUGGUACAAGAGAUUUGAUUCCUUCAUAAUUAGCCUUGGGUACAACAGACUCAGUUCAGACCAUUGUACGUAUUACAAGAGGUUUGAAGAAAAUGAUGUUUUCAUCAUUCUGUUGUUGUACGUGGAUGACAUGUUGGUAAUAGGCCCCAACAAAGAUCGAGUCCAAGAAUUGAAGGCACAGUUGGCUAGGGAGUUUGAUAUGAAGGACUUGGGACCAGCAAACAAGAUUCUAGGGAUGCAAAUUCACCGAGACAGAAGUAAGAGGAAGAUUUGGCUUUCUCAGAAGAAUUAUUUGAAGAAGAUCUUGCGACGCUUCAACAUGCAAGAUUGUAAGCCAAUUUCCACCCCACUUCCUGUUAACUUCAAAUUAUCCUCAAGUAUGUCUCCUAGCAAUGAAGCAGAGAGGAUGGAGAUGUCUCGAGUACCGUAUGCAUCAGCAGUGGGAAGUUUAAUGUUUGCCAUGAUAUGUACAAGACCAGACAUUGCACAAGCAGUGGGAGCAGCUAGUCGAUACAUGGCAAAUCCUGGUAGAGAGCAUUGGAAUACUAUCAAGAGGAUCUUGAGAUACAUCAAGGGUACCUCAGAUGCCGCAUUAUGUUAUGGAGGAUCAGAAUUCACUGUCAGAGGUUAUGUUGACUCAGAUUUUGCUGGUGACCUUGAGAAAAGAAAAUCCACUACAGGCUAUGUGUUCAUAAUUGCAGGAGGAGCUAUGAGCUGGGUCUCUAAACUUCAGACUGUUGUAGCGUUAUCCACAACAGAAGCUGAGUAUAUGGUAGCUACACAAGCUUGUAAAGAAGCAAUAUGGAUGAAGAAACUUAUGGAGGAGCUCGGGCACAAACAAGAUAAGAUUCUUUUGUAUUGUGAUAGUCAGAGUGCCUUGCAUAUUGCAAGGAAUCCGACGUUUCAUUCAAGAACAAAACAUAUAGAUGUUCAGUAUCACUUUGUUCGUGAAGUGGUGGAAGAUGGAAGUGUGGAUUUUCAGAAGGUGUGAACACAAAGGAAAACCCAACAAUGCAUCCAAGCAUUAUAUGCACACAAAAGAAGAGAAAACAAGAGUAGAGUGAAGAAAGAUUAAUUCCACUAAGUUGUGAGGUAUUUGUGAGAGAGUAAGUGAGGUGUUUUCUCCUAGUAAUAGAGAGAUUCUUAGUUGUUCUUCUAUUAUCUGAGAGAGGUUGUAAUUCCCACAUUACUUAGUAAAAUCCUUCUAUACUUGCCCGUGGACGUAGCCCAAUUGGGUGAACCAUGUAAAUUCUUGUGUGUCUCAUUUCUCAUUUUAUCCUAUCCUUUACCUUGUCUUGUCGGGUUUGCAUGCCAGUAUCCUAACAGAAACAUGGUGCUGCUAUAUAUAGUUCUUAAUACUGCUGUCAUUUUUUAUGCUGCACAUACUUUCUGCAUUCACUUUCCUGCUUUGGAUUAUACUGCUAUGAUUUUCUAUGACCGUUCUGGUUUUUCGUUCCUGCAAAAGUGUUCUUCAAUUGGUUGGAAGUCUUGCUUCUGCAGAUGCCUUGUUGUAUGCUGGUAUUGGUGUCAAUUGUUAAUGCAUUAAUUUUUGGUUUUGAUUACCUUCUGGUGGUGAUCAUUUCAAGUCAACAUUGAUAUACUUGAGUAUCAUGGAAGCUUUGGCUUCUGAUUUUGUUUUUUUUUUAUCUGUUAGAGUUCAUAAUAACUAUAAUAAUAAGUGACGAUUUUUUUAAACAAGACUUUUCUCAUAGAAAACAAGAUCUAAAAAUUUAUUUUUUUAUUUUAAAAUUAUUUUUAAGACUGCUGUAAUGUUGGGUGCGAUAUAUUAUAAAUCAAUAAUAAAAAAAAUCUUAUUACUAUAAAAAGCUUUUAAUCAACAUGAAAAUCCUAUUUUUUUAAUUUUUAAGUUUUAUUAAGUAGAAUAAAACUACAAAAAAAAAUGAUUGAUUGUAAUAUUUUUAUUUUUAAAGACUAUAUUAAGAUUCUCAAUAAAUAUUUCAAUAUAAUUCUAUUAAUACUUAAAAAAUAAUAUCAUUACUUCUUUAAAUAUUUUGAAAGAAUAAAAAGAGCAUGCGAAAAAAAAAGGGUAAAGAAUGAAAUUUUUUUUUUGGAUGAGGAGGCGAGCUUGGUUUGCGUGCUGGGAAUGCAAGUGUAGAGUCGCGAGUGCCGGAGUUUUCAACGGUAGCAAACUCCUCUAUUUUUAGUUUUAUAAAAUUACAUGAAUAUUACAUCCCACGUUGGUUUUCUUUAUAAUAUUUUAGGGUCAAUUAUAUUGUAGUCCUUGUAGUUUAUUUAAAAUAAUUAAUUAGUCCUUGUACUAUAGGACAAAAAUGAGUAAUUAGUUCAUUGACAAACAUUGACCAUUUCAAUUUUUUGGUGUUUUUUUUUGUUGUUUUAGAAAAUAUCUUUUUUUUUUAUCAACUCUUUCUACCUUAUUUUGAUCUCUGUUUCUUCUUUAUUUUUUUAUCUAUAAAAAACAAAAAAAAAGUAUAGGAAAAUAAAAAUAAGAUUAAACUAUAAAUGAAUUUAAGAAAAUAUAAAAAAAUAAUAUAUAAUUUCUGAAAAAGUGUUUACUUUUCUUAUCUGUCACUCCAUCUAUUGAACAUUGCGAGCAUCCUCUGAGAAUUAAGUUGCAUCGGUUUUUCUUCUGUUAUAUGCUCCAGAUAUUGAUGCUCGUAGAUGGAGAAAACAUAUGCAUAAGAAGCAUAGCUCAUGUUCUGCCAAAAUGUCAUGUGAAUGUUACUUGUCAUAUUUCCAUGAGCUUUUGUCUUUGGCACAUCCUCAAAUUUCUUUAUCAGUCCAUUGUAAUUGUCUGACUGUCGGUUCCAAAAGAAUACAGACUGCACAGGCUACAAUAUUUUUGUGGUGUUGUAUUACUUUGAUGUGCUGGACAUUUAUUCCUUGCAGAUCAAAAACAAUCCCUCGGACAAUAUGGAUGACAUGCACUCAAGUAAUGAUGAUUAUAACGUACCUGUUGUUUGCUUCUGCAAUUGAUGGUAUCCUUUACGCCGCAACAGCAUUACUUGGGAUCAGCGGAAAUUUUGAAGAAAAAUAAGAAUGUUUCAAUGGAAGAAAGGUUUCUCUGUUUCUUUGAAUAUUAACGUGAAUAUACCACUUACUAUUCUAUACGAGCUGCUGUUUUUUAUAACAUUACAAGUUGCUUAAUUUGGAUACAUUGACUUGCCUAAUUCUUAGCUGAUCUAUUUCCAUAACAAUCCAACGUCUCUUUCUCUUUUUGGUUCCUGUCAUAAACUUCAUUGCUGCUGCUGUUGAUUUAUUUCCAUAACAAACCAACGUCUCUUUCUAUUUGUGUUUUGUUACCAUGAGAGUUGGUUUGUUUCCAUUGUUGCUGGUGAUUCUAAUUAGCCAACGUCUCUUUAAAGAAUAACUUUUUGGCCGCUUAACCCCCAUCCUCCUCCUCCUCCUCCUCCUCCACCUUUAUAUUAAUUUUUAAUUAACAUUAUUUACAUUUAAAAUUUUUUUUAAUGUUUUUUUGAAACACAUUCAUUUUGUAAUGAAUAUUAUUUCACUUUGAGUUUUUGUUGCUUAAUAUAAAUUUUAUUUGCAUAAUUGGUUUGUAUUACCAUUAAUUUAUAUCAUUUUUUCAAAAUAAUUAAAAAACAAUUAAAAAAAAAACAAUUACACAGGGAUUUACCGACGGAAUAACUCCGUCGGCAUUGGACAGUGUCUACCACCGUCACCCACGGAACAAAUCCGUCGGUAUAAAUUCCCCGACGUAUUUACCGACGGAAAUAUUCGGUCGGUAUAAAAUAUCACCGACACUUUUGCCGACGGAUUUAUUCCGUCGGUAUUUUUAUAACACCGAUGGAAAAUAUUCCGUCGGUAUAUUCCAAGCGGGAAACUUUUUUUUUUUUGGCGCGCACGGUCCGUUGGUAAAAGUUUUUUUUGUAUUUCCGACCGAUAUAGCGACGGAAUGUAGAAUCACCGACAAAAGGUAUUCCGACGAGAGUAUUCCGUCGGCAAUUUAGUCGGUAAAUACGUUACCGACGAAAUGUCUAUCACACACCGACGAAAUAUGUCCGUCGGUAAAACUGUGAAAUCUUGUAGUGUUUGAUUUGUUUCCAUGUUGCUCGCUGACUGCUGCAGUUAAUUUGUUUCCAUGAGGGCUGAUUCGUUUCCAUGUUGGUUUCCACGUUGCUGGCUUACAGAUGCUGUUGAAUUGUUUCCAUGAGCAUCUGUCUUAUUACCAUUGUCACACCCCACAAAAAAUAUGGUGCGCGGCAUCGCCUGGCGAUUUUCGUUGUGUUCUAAUGAUUUGGUUCUUUGGAGUCGCCACCUAGUAUUUGGUCACUAGGAACCCUAACUGGUCUUUCAAAGAUUCUAAGGCAAGGGACUGGUUGCGUAAAGGGAAGGUACUAGCACCCCUAGUACGCCCUACCUAAGGUAAGCUGCUUGGUGUUUGGUUUGCUCUAUAGUCUAUGGUGUUGGUGUCUUCUAAACCCGUCAAUUUAUUUUGGAUAGAAACCGAAGGAGAUUCCAUGUGCUUUGAAAGCUCAUUUUUCCCUUAGUAUUUCAAGAGUUGGCGACUCGUAAAUCGCAAGGAAAAAGAAAAAAAGAACGAAGAAAAUUUCACAAUUCUUAAAAAAAACAAAUAUAUAUUUGGUUGUUUGUUUUUCAUAUAUAUAUUGGUUUUUAUAUAUACUUUGAUUUGUAUUUUUUAUAUUAUGGGGUACAAUUUUCAGUGUUAAAAAAAAAACACCCGUUUUCGUAAAAAAAAAAAAUAUAUUUCUUGCGUGUUGCAUACGGCCAAUACUCUAACAUGUUUUGAAUUUUCUUUUUAUAGAUAAAAAAAAAAUAUUGGAAGCUUUGAAAGUGUGUUUUCGUAUAGAUUUCUUAAACACAAAUUUAUUUUCUUGCAUUUGUGGAUUUUACAACAUGUUUGUAAAACUCCAAAGGGUAUUGGCCAAUAUUCCAAAAACUAUAAAAAUUUUAUUUUUUUAAAAAAAUAUAUACAUGUACAUGCAUAAUAUAAUAAAAUAAUAAUAUAAUAUAAUAUAUUAAGUGGGCUGGGCCGGCCCAACUAACUGGGCCGGACUCCAGCCCCAAAACGUUGGGCCGAACUCGACCCAACAAUAUCUGGUCUUGAUCUGGGCCGGACCGGCCCAGACCUAAAUCAUUGGGCCUGACCCUGUCUGGCCCAAAAGAAGGAAAGAAUGAACGGGGGGAAUUAUUCCCCCCCCCCCCCGUGCCUCCUGCAUGCAGAGACGAUUCUGCAUGCAGGAGGCCAACCAAAUGCCAGCCUCUAAAGAAGAUGCACGGGGGGUCAGGGUAGCGUACCUGGCGCAGCGGAGACGGCGGCUUGCUGGCGGAGGCUACGAUGGCAGCGGCUUAUCUCGCGGUGGUUUUCAAGAGGACCGAGACCCACUCCUUCGGUUCGUUUGCUUUUGUUUCAAAUGCUUGAGUCCACUCUCGGUUUCAACUAUCCCAAGCUGCUUCACCCUGUGUUUCCAGUCGCUGUUUCUGAAGUUGUGGUUUCUCUCUCCUUCGGUCUCUCUCUCUCUCACUGUCUCGUUUUUUGUCUUUCUUUUUCGGGUCACUCCUUCGGUUUUUUUUUCUCCCUCCUCUCUCACUCUGCUUCUUCUCUAUUUAUAGGCAUAUCGGGGCAUGCAUGGGGUAACGAAGCGUGCUGGUCGGCAGGCGCCGUUGCCGAGGUGCUUCUCUCGGUUUCGGGGGUUCCAAGGUGUGGAGCGUUGGGCCAUGGCACGUGAGGAGAGAGGCGGGGACAAAAACCCCGGUUUUCCUCUUCUCUGCUACGCCUGCGGGGGGGAAGAAGAAGAGAAACAAUGCCGUUCAAAACGGCACCGUUUGGUCUCUAUUCCUUUUUUUUUUUUUUUAAACGCAUGAAACGGCGUCGUUUUGGAGAAAACGCGCCGUUUCAUUUAAAUGUGGUGCCAGAAACGCGCCAACGUUCAUAUCAGUCCCCCAAUUAUUUUUGUUCCUUUCAAUUGCGUCCCUGCCAAUUUCGGCUUCGUCCGCCUAGUUGGCCGCCUUGUCCACUUUAGUCCUUGGCCUCUGAUUUAUGCAAUUAAGCCCUCAAUUGAUCAAUAAACUUCCAAUUUCUUCAAUUAGGCCCCUCAAUCAAUUCCAAACAGCCCCCCUAUCUUUGCGCCUUUUUCAAAUUGGUCCCUGGUUUCGGAUUUUCAACAAUUAAACCCCUAAUUGGCCAUUAAACUUCAAUAUUUAUGCAAUUAAGCCCCUGAUUUGACUUAAUAAAAUCCUAAAAAAUAUAAUUUGGCCCCAGAACUUAAAUUUCUUCUAUUUAAAGCCCAAAUUGACUUAAAAAUCAAUUUUUCUUGCAAUCAAAUCCCCUAUAAAUCCAAUUAAAAAUUCAAUUAAGUCCAUAAACAUCCAAAUUUGGGCUUUUCUCCUCAAAAUUCAAAAUUCCCUUCUAAACAUGGCCCUCAUCCUUCAAGAAUAUACUGCCAAAAAAUCCAAUCUUUGUAUUUUUAUCCAAUCUUUGUAUUUUUAUAUUCCUUGACCAAUUUUCUGAUCAUUUUCCGAGCGCUUCUGCCUCCUGUUAUUUUUCUAACCUUCUUUGGCUAUUUAUUUUAUUUUUUUUGCGGGGACCCAAAAAUGGGUUACAACAGAUGCCCCCUCUUUAUAGAGCUUACGGAGCAAAGGUUUUGCGCAGUAAGUUUUAUAAAGAUAAUCCAAACUAAACUCCCGAAAACUGAUCUGGUCGAAGCUUGAUCGAUCUGAAACUCUUUCUUUACAACAAUCCUCUUCGGCCAUCGGAAUCCCAUCUGGUAAUUCCCUUUAACGAAAAUAAAAUAUGAGGUCCCUUCUGGCGACCCCUUUUGACAAAUAUCGAAAUACGAGAUCCCUUCUGGCGAUCUCCUUUAAUCAACUUGGAAUCCCAUCUGGCGAUUCCUAUUAACAAACAUGAAGUACGAGGUCCCAUCCGGCGACCCCAAAUAGUGAAACACGAGAUCCCUUCUGGCGAUUCAAACAACCUGGAAUCCCAUCUGGCGAUUCCUUUUAACCAACAUGAAAUGUGAGGUCCCAUCUGGCGACCUCCAAUAGUGAAACACGAGAUCCCUUCUGGCGAUCUCAACAACCUGGAAUCCCAUCUGGCGAUUCCUUUUAACCAAAUGAAAUACGAGGUCCCAUCUGGCGACCUCCAAAUAGUGAAACACGAGAUCCCUUCUGGCGAUCUCAAACAACUUGGAAUCCCAUCUGGCGAUUCCUUUUAACCAAUGAAAUACGAGGUCCCAUCUGGCGACCUCCAAAUAGUGAAACACGAGAUCCCUUCUGGCGAUCUCAAACAACUUGGAAUCCCAUCUGGCGAUUCCUUUUAUUCAAAUGAAAUAUGAAGUCCCUUCUGGCGACUCUUCAUCGAAAACGAGAUCCCUUCUGGCGAUCUCUUUUAACCAAACAACUUGGAAUCCCAUCUGACGAUUCCCUUUUACCGAUUGUUAUCGAUGUCGUUCUUCCUGCUGGCAGGAUUUGAAAAAUAUUAUCUUCUCUUCUUGUUGUUCUAGACUCAACUCAAUGAUUCUUUCUCGUCCACAAUCUUGUUGGAAUGCACUAAGAUCUCCUCCUGUAACGAUAAAAAACAUAUAUGCAAUGAUUUAUGAUUAGAUGCAAUGCAUGCAUUCGUACCUGGUUUUGAAACAUAGGCCCCAUCCUCUUCUAGUUCAUGAGACUCUUCUUAACAUGAGCUUGCUUUUGAAGUCGUAUGUGGAUUCAUCUCUCGUGUUGCCUUUUUACUUAUCAUAUUCUUGGAGAAGAAGUAUUUGACUUUCCUUAAGUAGUCCUUUUCUCAAAAUGUAAGACUUGUUAUUGCCUUUUGUCAUGCUUUUGUCAAAUGCUUUAGCUUGGUUUUCAAAUUAUAGGCUUCCGUAAAACUUUUAUAUAAAAAAUCUUGUAUUGCCCCCAGUGUAGGGGUGUGAUCCUAGUUUGAGCUUUUAUAUUAGAGAAGAAAUAGUUCAGUCGAUGCUAAAAUGAGUGAUGAGAUGCACUGUUAGGAUUAAUGCAAAAAUGAUUGUUGUGAGAUCAAUGCACAAAAGGAAAGAAAUCAAUGGCCAAACUUUGCUUUAUUGAUUUAGGGAACUACAUCAAGCGUAAUAUCUUUUUACAGAGUCAGAAUUCACAGGUCGAGCUAGGUCUUCUCCAUCCAUUCUAGCUAACUUCAACGCUCCUCCUGAGAAUGCCUUUGUUACUACAUAAGGACCCUCAUAAUUUGGUGCCCAUUUGCUUUGAUCAUCUCCGGGUAAUGACAAUAUUUUCUUCAAUACUAGAUCCCCUUCUUGAAACAACCGCGGUCUAACCUUCUUAUCAUACGCCUUAGCCAUUCGUUUCUGGUAAAGUUGGUGAUGACAUAUUGCGGCCAUCCUCUUUUCACUGAUCAGGUUCAGUUGCUCGUGUCUCACUCUGGCCCACUCGGCCUCUUCUAACUCAGAAUCUAUUAACACUCUUAACGACGGGAUUUCCACUUCCAAAGGCAUCACUGCCUCCAUACCGUACACCAAAGAAUAUGGGGUAGUCCCUGUCGAGGUUCGAACUGCGGUGCGAUAUGCAUGAAGGGCAAAUGGCAACAUCUCAUGCCAAUCCUUAUAGGUGACUACCAUCUUCUGAAUAAUCUUUUUGACAUUCUUGUUAGCAGCUUCUACCGCCCCAUUCAUCUUUGGUCUAUAUGGCGAAGAAUUGGAAUGCUUGAUUUUCCAUUUAGUGCAGAGCUCUAUUAUCAUCUUGCCGUUGAAAUUCUGGGCAUUAUCAGUUAUAAUCUUUUCUGGUGGACCAUACCGACAUAUCAAAUCUCUCUCAAUAAAUUUCUUCACCACUUUUUGUGUCACAUGAGCAAAUGACCCGGCUUCUACCCAUUUUGUGAAGUAGUCAAUAGCCACGAGGAUAAAUCUAUGACCAUUGCUCGCUUUUGGGUUUACAGGUCCAAUCACAUCAAUUCCCCACAUCGCGAAGGGCCAUGGAGAUGUUAAGUUAAACAGAGGAGCUGGUGGCAUAUUGACCUUGUCACUGUAAAUUUGACAUUUGUGACAUUUUCUGACAUAGUCGAUACAAUCUUUUUCUAGUGUCAUCCAAAAAUAACCAGCCCUUUGGAUUUUCCUUGCCAUCAUAUGCCCGCUAGCAUGGGUUGAGCAAAUCCCCUCAUGGACCUCUCUUAAUGCCUUUCUAGCAUCUGCCUCAUCCAAACACCUUAACAGGGUUCCAUCAAAUGAUCUUUUAUACAAAAUCUCUCCAUCUAAAUAGAAGCCUAUAGCCAACCUUCUCAAGGUUUUCUUAUCCGUUUUAGAAGCUCCCACCGGAUAUUCCUGAUUCUGCACAAGAUUCUUGAUAUCGUAAUACCAAGGUUGUCCGUCCAUCUCUCCUUCCACUAAACAACAAUGCGCUGGAUCGUUUCUAAUAUCAAUGUGUACCGGUUGUACCUUGCUCUUGAGGUCAAUGGUAGUCAUAGCCGCUAGUGUGGCCAAAGCAUCCGCAAAAUGGUUCCCCUCCCUUCCCAGAUGGGUGAAUCUAAUUUCUUCAAAUUCCUUUGCUAGCACGGAUAGGUAUUCCUGGUACGGCCUCAACUUUUCUUCUUUGGUUUGCCAUUCCCCUUUGACCUGGCAGAUGAUCAACAUUGAAUCCCCAUAUACAUCUAUCUUCUUUAUCUUUAACUCCAAUGCCGCUUCUAAACCGAGUAUACAAGCUUCAUACUCAGCUGUAUUGUUGGUGCACUCGAAAUGUAGUUUGACCGAAACUGGGUAUUGUUUCUUAUUAGGAGAGAUUAUUACCGCCCCUGCCCCGUUACCAUAUACAUUUACUGCCCCGUCAAAAAACAUGGUCCACCAAUCUGUCUUCUCUUCUUCCUUUUCUAUUGACAAUAUAUCUUCAUCAGGGAAAUCAAAAUCCAAAGAUUCGUAAUCUUCAAUAGCAUUAUCGGCCAGAUGGUCCGCGAUUGCACUCCCUUUUACGGCUUUCCUUGUCAUGUACACUAUGUCAUAUUCUGCUAAUAAAACCUGCCACCUUGCAAUUCGACUUGAGAGAAAAGGCUUAUUACAAAUAUACCUCAGGGGAUCCAAUUUUGAAAUCAACCAAGUGGUAUAGUAUAACAUGUAAUGUCGCAACCUCUUUGCCGCCCACACCAACGCACAACAAAGUUUUCUAUCUCCGUGUAUCUGGACUCACAUUCAGUGAAUUUCUUACUCAAGUAAUAAAUAGCUCUUUCCUUCCUUCCGGUUUCAUCAUGCUGACCCAAUACACAUCCCAUGGCUACUUCAGUUACGGUUAGAUAUAAUACUAGAGGUUUCCCUGAUACAGGAGGCACCAGUAAAGGUGGAUUUUGUAAAUAAUGCUUGAUUUUAUUGAAUGCCUCCUCACACUCCUCAUUCCAGGUUCCAGGAUUCUUUUUCCUUAGUAGUCGGAAUAUAGGCUCGCAUGUUGUUGUUAGCUGAGCUAUAAAUCGAGCAAUGUAAUUCAACCUUCCCAAGAAUCCUCUUACUUCUUUCUCCGUCUUAGGGGAUGACAUAGCUUGAAUGGCCCUUACUUUAUCUGGAUCCACCUCUAUACCUCUAUCACUUACCACAAAUCCCAACAGCUUGCCCGAUUUAACUCCGAAUGAACAUUUUGCAGGAUUAAGCCUUAGUUCAUACUUCCUCAACCUCUCGAAUAACUUCCUCAAAACUUCCACAUGAUCCUGUCCCUUUUUAGACUUGGCAAUCAUAUCAUCUACAUACACCUCAAUUUCUUUGUGCAUCAUGUCGUGGAAUAGAGUCACCAUUGCUCUUUGAUAUGUUGCACCUGCGUUCUUUAACCCAAAUGGCAUGACCUUGUAGCAGUAGGUCCCCCAAGGUGUGACAAAAGUUGUUUUCGCCUUAUCCUCUGAGCCAUUUUUAUUUGAUUGUAUCCUGAAAAACCGUCCAUAAAGGAAUAAGUGGAACUUCGGGCAGCAUUAUCCACUAAAACAUCUAUGUGUGGUAGAGGAAAAUCAUCCUUAGGGCUAGCUCUAUUCAAAUUCCGAAAAUCCACACAAACUCUAAUCUUCCCUUCUUCUUAGGCACCACAACAAUGUUAGAUACCCAUUGUGGAUAUCUAACUACUUCUAGAAAGCCAGCAUCCCAUUGCUUUUCGAGUUCUGCCUUGACCUUGAUCCAGACGUCCGGGUGGGCCCUCCUCAGUUUCUGCUUGACUGGCUUAUAACCUUCUUCCAACGGUAUCUUGUGUUCUACAAUACUUGUAUCCAAACCGGGCAUAUCUUCAUAGGACCAAGCAAAGACAUCUGAAUAUUCUUGUAAUAGGGUGAUCAUUUUUAUCCUUUGUUCAGAAGUAAUUAGGGUACCUAUUUUCAAUCUUUCUUGAGCUGACCAUUGCCCACAUUGAUGGUUUCGAGUUCCUCGGCGGCAGGCUUCCAAGCCUGUUCCUGUUGUUCUACUAGCCUGGUGAAUUCACUGAUAUUGCUUUCAUCCCACUCUUCUUCUUCCAUAGAUAUUACAUGCUCGUUCAAGUUUGGCCAUUUAUUCUUGAUGCUAGAUGUAUGUGAUGUUGUAGGAGAUCCGCUUUCAGGAUUCCUGAAAGCGGGAAGUGCUUGGUGUAAAUGCAUAUAUAUAAAAAAAUUUUUGAAAAAAGUGCAUGAUCUCAUAUUCAUUCAAAGGAAAAGGUGGGCUCCAAGACAAACAUAGAAUCUAGCUGACAUCAUGAGCCUUGAUUGUCAACUAGAGAAAAUAAAGCAAACAUAAGCAAUGACAAAAACAUUUUAAGGCAAACAAAGUUGGUUUACAUUUUGAAAACCACUGGAGCUUCUUGGGUCACCCAAUUCUGGAACUUUUCGCCUUGAGCCAACUUGCGCACAAAGGUCUUGGCGGAGACUUCUUCUAGCGUAUGGAUCGUCAGUUGUGGCAGCACUUCAUCUUCUUUUCCCGCUAUUUCUUUCGCUUCACCUUUUUCCUUCUCCUUUCCCUCCAAGGUGUUUAUGCUCAUAUCUGCCAGCUCUAGACCCAGGCUUUCAGCUCCCUUAUCAUGUUGCACUAUGUAUGCAGCUCUUGGGAAUGAUACACGAAGGGGAGGGAUUUCCAGCUGUUCUUCUUCAAGAUCUCUUCCUUUAAUUCUAGCCAUCCUUCUUGUCCUUCUCCGAUCAGCAGCCCAACGAUAAUCCUCUUGGUUAGGUUGAUAUCCUAGCCCAAAUCUUUGAUCAGCUUUCUCUUCCUUGUCGGAUUAGCCCCUUCUGGUAUUCCGCAAGCGAGGUUAUAUCGACGUGGGACCCCACGGUUCAAGAAACAUAGACUUGCCAUCCUUGCUGCUUCUGAGAUCCUUGGCCUUCUUAGCACGGUGUUCUCCGGUACCCAGUCGGUGUUCACGAUCUCAAAAGCAUGGAUAUUGUUAUCCUUGCAAUCCUCCGCUUCGAUGAAAGGCACAGCCACAUUCUUUAUCAUGGAUAUUGCCUCCUCAGCCUUGACGGUUACUAACAUCCCAUUCAUGAUGUACUUCAGACAUUGGUGCAAUGAUGAAGCUACUGCCCCCGCUGCGUGGAUCCAAGGUCUUCCCAACAACAUGCUAUAGGAAGGGUGGAUAUCCAUAACCUGAAGUGUCACUAGGAACAUUUGCGGUCCCACAUAUAGCUCCACUUCUAAAGUCCCAAGUAUUGGCCUAGGUGAGCCAUCAUAUGCUCUGGCUAUCAUAGUACUUGGCUUCAUAUGGGAUUCAUCAAUUGGCAUUUCCUCCAGAAUGUGCUUUGGCAACACGUUGAGGGACGAGCCAUUAUCGACGAGCACCUUCCCUAUGAGGCAGUCUUUGCACCUAACAGUAAUGUAUAAAGGCUUGUUGUGUCCGGUACCUUCAGCAUCAAGCUCAUCAGCCGUGAAGUAGAGGUAAUUAGUUGCAUGGAUCCUCCCCACUAAAUGCUCCAUGGUUUUGUGCUCAAUGUCUGGGUACAUAUGCCUCAUUCAAUACCUUUUGCAAGGCAUUUCGAUGCGGCUCAGAGCUGAGUAUCAAAGACAUAAGGGAGAUCCGAGCUGGAGUCUUUUUUAGUUGAUCCACUAUGCAAUAUUCGCUAUGCUUGAUCAACUUUAAAAACUCAUUCGACUCCUCUUCUGUUACCGGCUUAUUAACUUCUGGUGCUUUGUCCAGAUCGACCACUUCUUUACCCUUUUCCUUCCUCCAUUCUUCAGGCGUAAAGCAACGACCACUCCUGGUCAAACCACCUAUCUCUGUCUGGAACAAAGGAAGAGGCGUUCGAAUGUUAGAUGCAUACCCAUAAUUAUACGGCAUGGCAUUGUGAUUCUCUUUGUGCAAGACGGUUUAAUCAAGAUAAGCCUUGGGGGCCCAUUAGCAGUCUGUUGGACCCUGCAAACUCCUGCCAUCUCAUCUUCACCUUCCAUCAUGCUCACCUCACACUUGCUCUCCAUGGGUUCAAUCCUCAAUUGUCCCAUCUUCAACAUUUUUGCGAUCUUUUCGCAAAACUCGGCGCAAUCCUCAAUGUGAUGUCCGUCUCUUCCGUGAAACUCACAGUAGUCAUCUCUCUCCAAUUGCCUUACCACCUUUGCCUCUGGAAAUCCUGAUUGUACUAACAUGUCGUCAACCUUUUCUUCGGCACCUUCAACACCUUGCCUUGAUUUCCCACUUCGAUCAUGCCUAUUCCACCACUAUUUGGAGCAUGUUUAGGCAAUGGGUUUGAAUUAACAUUGGGCUUAUCUUUGAAGGAUACCCAACCCAACUUAAUAAGCUCCAAUAACCUCUUCUUGAAUGCAUAGCAGGUUUCAAUCCCAUGCCCGGGAUUACCCCCAUGGUACUCGCAAGUCAAAUCGGGCUUGUACCAAAUUGGGAAUGGUGGUUGUAGUGGUAGUGUAGGGAUAGGAGCUACUUGUCCAAUGCUCAAAAGUUUGGCAUACAUGUCCUUCAAAGGCAUGGGUAACGGUGGCAGUUGUUCUGAAGUGUAUCCUGAGUGGGGUCUUUGGUAGUGAUUUUGGUAGUUUGGUUGGUUAUUUGUUCGGUUAGGUGAAAAAGAUUGGUUAAAGUUUACGCGUGGGAAUUGAGAGGUAGGUGUUUGUGGGCUGUGGAAAUUUACUUUCUUGCCUUUGUACCCGCCUUCCAAAUUGUUAACGUCCCCUUCUCUUUUCCUUCCCAUAAAACCUUUCUUCUCUAAAGGCUCCGCUAUGCGCCCUGCUUUAAUUCCUUGCUCUAUCCUUUCCGCCACACGUACAACAUCAAAGAAAUGUUGAGAUGAGCUACCCAUUAAAUGCUCAUAGUAGGGUGCCUUGAAUGUAUUGGCGAACAAAGUCACCAUCUCCGUUUCUAUCAAAGGGGGUUGCACGUGCGUGGCCUCGUCCCUCCAUCUUUGCGCAUAAGCCCUCACUGACUCUUGGCUUCUCUUUUCCAUUGACAUGAGGCUCGUUCGAUCUGGCGCAAUUUCCAAAUUGAACUUGUAUUGCUUUAGGAAAGCCUCCACUAAGUCCUUCCAUUUCUUAAUCUUGACAUUAUCCAGCCUCAUGUACCAACUUAGCGCAGAUCCCGAUAGACUGUCUUGGAAAAAGUAGAUCAUUAACUUAUCGUCAUGAAUCACUUCAGCCAUCUUAUUGCAAUAAGAUCGAAGGUGAGUGUUUGGGCAUUCCAACCCAGUGUACCUUAUAAACUCUGGUAUCCUAAAAUCUUUUGGUACCGUGAGGUUAGGUACCAAGCAUAUUUCCGACGCUCGCAUGGGGUCAAACCAAUCAUUUCCCUCGACUGCUCUUAACCUUUCUUCUAAUGCUGAUAUCUUGUCAUCAUUCACAAAACCAGUGGACCUAUUAUCGGAAGGCCCCGGCUGUUAAAUCUACAGUGAUAUGAGCUUGAGGGGGCUGAAUGGGAAUAGCAGGUGCAAAGUGCUGCCCCGUCGCUGAAUCUGCCCCCAAGUUCUGAGAUAACCCCGGGACAUGGACUGACGGUGCUCCUAUAGGUGGUUGGGUAGAUGUUCCCUCCCCGUUCUUGGCUCUUAAAAGUUGCUCAAGCAGAUUGGUUAGCCGAGAAACUUCAUUUUUCACAGAUUCCAACUCGGUCUGGUAGUGUGACUCUAAUUGAGCUCUUUCUUCGUUUUCCAUUCUUGAUCUGGAACGGGUUUGGUGGAUUCGGAUGUGGGACCUAUGUUUCACGAUCUGCAGAUGCAUGCAUAGAUGUAUGAGAAAAAUGUAUGAUUGUGAUGGAUGCAUGAUUGUGAUGUAUGGUUGUGAACGAAACAAACAAACAUCCCAUUAUAAGUAUUCUCUUGUCACAUUGCUUUGAUAGGAGUUCUGCCUUUCGAGUCGUUUGCUUGAAUCAUGUUCACCAAGAGACAGAUUUUGCAUAAGAAGAUGGGUCAACGCCCUUUUCAUUAACGCUUGGAUAAAAAUACAUUAGAAAUAAAAGAAAUACAACAUUGCUAAUCCCUCUCCUCCCUAAACUCUUUAGCCAACGGUAAGAAAGCAAAACCGCGGUUCUCAAUCUUCCCUAGAAAGGCAUCGGUUUCAGCUAGGCUUCGGCGAUAGCGAAUGAUGUCUCCUCCCACAUUACGUGUAUUGAUUCUAAUAAUUCGAGCGUGUGGGCAGCUUCGUCCAUUUGCUCAUCUGUUUUGGUCAUUUUUUCUAUGAGCAACAUGUUGGUUCUGUUCAAAGCCGUGUUGUUGGCGUCGAUUUGAUCCUUGUGCUUUUCCAUUGCUACUAGCUUCUCGUCUAGAUACUUCACCUUUUCGCGUUCUUUGUCAAGUUUUAUCCUCAUGACUUUUAUCUCAUUCUUCUUCACCACUAACUCUGCUUUAACAUCCUCGAAAUCUCCCCUUUCAUUUUCCAACUCCAUAUAUCUCUUAUUCAAAUCCUCGUACUUCCCAAUCCUAUCCAUUAGUUCGAAUUGCACUUGCGCAAAUUUCUCUUGGUAAUAUUCUGCACUUUCUUGGCAAUCGCUGAAGUCCAUCUCCAUUGCUUCAAGUUCAGAGCAACCUUGCAUCCAAUCCAAACUCACCCCUUUUAGCUCCUUCUCGCUUCUUUCCCUAGCAAUCUUCUCCUCACCCAGUUUUGACUCAAGCUUUGUUAUUUUCAUGUCUCUAGACUGUAUUUGCUCAUCUAGAAAUGUUCUCAUUUUAUCCUGUUCUAUCAUCAUUUCUUCCAACAUUGCUUUGUCUUUUCUGCUCUUGCUCAAUUCUAUUCGUAGUUUCUCCACUUGCCUUCUCAAGUCUUCUUCAUUGUUAACCCUCCUUCUCUUAAUGGGUUCCUCUACAGUUUGAGGAGAUUUGACUUCUACACGAGGCAUGGCUGAAGCAGCUGAAUCAUCUUCAACAUUAACCCUUUUUCUCUUAAUAGGCUCCUCUACAACUUGAGGAGAUUUAGCUUCUACGCAAGGCACGGCUGAAGCAGCUGAGGCUCUCCAUUUUACAUAUCCUUCGCUCAUACUUGGAUCUCUCAAACCUUCUAUCUCCACUAACACGAGAUGCUUCCAAUCUUGUUUGAUGAUCUCCAAAACUUCUUCUGCCAUGGGAUCUUUGAACAGACCAAAGAAUUGAGCAAUUCCCAUAGUCCUGGGAACAAACUGCAUGCCCCCAAGUUGUCUUACCACUAAAGCCGGGGCAUAACUCACAUAACCCGUAAUCCCCACCAAUGGUACCCAACGCCUUUGUCCACAACUCAUUAGGACCUUCACUGUCGUUACCCAUGGGGCUCUCCAUUUAAAAUCGCUAUUAGGUAAACCUUCUAAUUUAUCAACCCAACCCUGGUUGUCUAGAUCUCCCCAUUCUUCUUCUUCUACUAACUUUAGGGGUUUUUGGGUGAACCACCAAAAAUUAUUGAAGACAGGUUUCUUUGUUUCGAUAUGGCUAACCAUCCAAAUAUACAACAGUUGCGUGCAGCAUCUCAUUGCUCCUUUUCCAGCUCUCCUACAAUGGUUAAGUGUCAAAAAUGUUUCGGCUAAAAUAGCAACCACUGGAUUGAUCUGUGUGUUCUCAUACUCCACAUAAGCAGCAGCGGCCUCCAAACUUACUAAACCAGUCUGACUUGGGAACAACACAAGACCAAAUAUACCUAAGGCAAUCAAUCUCUCUUUUUCUACUCCUGACUUCUUUUCCAACUCUAGCAUCCUCCAUUUCAAACCGGUACCAUUCUUUUCCAGAAACUUUUCCAAGUUGGAGAUUCUGAGCAGUUUUGACAGCUCAGGGAUGAUCUUGUCGGACCUCAAAGGAGAAUAAAUCCGAUACAGGUCGUUGGGAAACUCGGUCAACAAUCCAUAUUCCUCAAUCGUGGGGCACAAGUCUAUGCUUCCAAAGGAGAAACAUCGGUAGUCUGGAUCCCAAAAAUGAACUAAGGCUCGCACAGCUGGGCUUAAAACUUCUACCUUUGCGAUUUCCAUCAAACGUCCGUAUUUCCUAAAAAAUGCAUCUUUAUCCACAUUCUGAAAAUGAGUCGUUAACUUGUCCACCUCAUUCACUAUGCAAUUCAGGUUCUUGAUUGGUGACAUCUUCUUAGCAUCGCUUCUAAGGCAGUCUCCUUCAGUCAAUUGUGACAGUUCAGAAUUCUUUCCAUACUCUACGAUGGAAGAUUUGAUGAUGGUCAUUUCGUUCACAAAUCCUGCAAUUCAAAAUGCAUGGGGGUUAGUCUUGUUUUGAUGCAAAAGAUAUAUCGGAACAUACACCCUAAGGAUAGGUUCUAGUUCUUUUACGUGAGACAUAGGGUAGGUUUACUACUAGGUCUCUAAAAGAGGGUCUCUUGCUGUUCCAGUGACCACCCUCGUAAAGGCGAUAUGGAGGUCCAGCAGAUAGUGGGAUGGCACGUGUACCAAUCACAAUCAGUCUAAACACUCAGCAAAGAGUUGGGGUUUACACAAACUUAAACCUUGACUCAAGUCAUAAGGCAAGCUGCUAGUCCCCCACUUAACCUUAAAGUUACAUGUGUGUGCCCUCAAAACAUAAUAACAAUAAUAAAGUGAUGCAUGACCAUGCCAUGUACGAUAGAAUGUAAAGAUGUAUGCUAAAAGCUUUUAAACAAAGCAACGUAAGAAACAAAAACCAAUACACAUAGCAUAAACAAACAAAAAACAAGCUUAGUCCAAGGGUCCCCAGUGAGUCGCCAUUCUGUCACACCCCACAAAAAAUAUGGUGCGCGGCAUCGGCUGGCGAUUUUCGUUGUGUUCUAAUGAUUUGGUUCUUUGGAGUCGCCACCUAGUAUUUGGUCACUAGGAACCCUAACUGGUCUUUCAGAGAUUCUAAGGCAAGGGACUGGUUGCGUAAAGGGAAGGUACUAGCACCCCUAGUACGCCCUACCUAAGGUAAGCUGCUUGGUGUUUGGUUUGCUCUAUAGUCUAUGGUGUUGGUGUCUUCUAAACCCGUCAAUUUAUUUUGGAUAGAAACCGAAGGAGAUUCCAUGUGCUUUGAAAGCUCAUUUUUCCCUUAGUAUUUCAGGAGUUGGCGACUCGUAAAUCGCAAGGAAAAGGAAAAAAGAACGAAGAAAAUUUCACAGUUCUUAAAAAACAAUUUUAUACUUUCACGACUCGUAAACCGUGGAAAAAAUUAAAAAUUUUGAAAUGUCCUCGAUUACAAUCAAAGCUUCUUUCAAACAUGUGUACAGAUUUAUUACUCCCAAUAAUAUUUUGGAUGUUCAUCCUUUUAAAGAUUUCUUCAUCCAAACAUUAGCGGUGAAUAAUAAAUACAAUUUCUCCUCCCAAAAUAAAAUUUUUAUAGUUUUUGGAAUAUUGGCCAAUACCCUUUGGAGUUUUACAAACAUGUUGUAAAAUCCACAAAUGCAAGAAAAUAAUUUGUGUUUAAGAAAUCUAUGCGAAAACACACCUUCAAAGCUUCCAAUAUUUUUUAUAUAUAAAAAGAAAAUUCAAAACAUGUUAGAGUAUUGGCCGUAUGCAACACGCAAGAAAAUAUUUUUUUUUUUUACGAAAACGGGUGUUUUUAAACACUGAAAUUUAUCCCCAUAUAUAAAAAACAAAUCAAUAUAUAUAAAAACAAAAAAUAUAUAUAUAUAUAUAUAUAUAUGAAAAAAACAACAAUAUAUUUUUUUAGACUUUUCGGAAUAUUUUAUUUUUUUUUUUUUUAAAAAAUAUAUAUAUAAUUACAUGCAUAAUAUAAUAAAUAAUAAUAUAAUAUUAAUAUAUUAAGUGGGCUGGGCCGGCCCAACUAACUGGGCCGGACUCCAGCCCCAAAAACGUUGGGCCGAACUCGGCCCAAAUAUCUGUCUUGAUCUGGGCCGGACCGGCCCAGACCCAAUCAUUGGGCCAGACCCUGUCUGGCCCAAAAGAAGGAAAGAAUGAACGGGGGGAAUUAUUUUCCCCCCGUGCCUCCUGCAUGCAGAAACGAUUCUGCAUGCAGGAGGCCAACCAAUGCCAGCCUCAAAAGAAAAUGCACGGGGGUCAGGAUAGCGUACCUGGCGCAGCGGAGACGGCGGCUUGCUGGCGGGGGCUGCGGUGGCGGCGGUGGCAGCGGCUUAGCUCACGGUGGUUUCCAAAGGACCGAGACCACUCCUUCGGUUCGUUUGCUUCUGUUUCAAAUUCUUGAGUCCCCUCUCGGUUUCAACUAUCCCAAGCUGCUCCACCCUGUUUUCAGUCGCUGUUUCUGAAGUUGUGGUUUCUCUCUCCUUCGGUCUCUCUCUCUCUCACUGUCUCGGUUUUUUUCUUUCUUUUCGGGUCACUCCUUCGGUUUUUUUCUCCUCCUCUCUCACUCUGCUUCUUCUCUAUUUAUAGGCAUAUCGGGGCAUGCAUGGGGAACGAGGCGUGCUGGUCGGUCGGUCGGCAGGCGCCGCUGCCGAGGUGCUUCUCUCGGUUUCGGCGCGGCGGGUGGUCGGCCAGUGGCUUCGGUUUCGGGGGUCCAAGGUGUGGAGCGUUGGGCCAUGGCACGUGAGGAGAGAGGCGGGGACAAAAACCCCGGUUUUCCUCUUCUCUGCUACGCCUGCGGGGGGAAGAAGAAGAGAAACAGUGCCGUUCAAAACGGCACCGUUUGGUCUUCUUUUUUUUUUUUUUUUUUAAACGCAUGAAACGGCGUCGUUUUGGAGAAAACGCGCCGUUUCAUUUAAAUGUGGCGCCAGAAACGCGCCAACGUUCACAUCAGUCCCCCAAUUAUUUUUGUUCCUUUCAAUUGCGUCCCUGCCAAUUUCGGUCUCGUCCGCCUAGUUGUCCGCCUUUUCCACUUUAGUCCUUGGCCUCUGAUUUAUGCAAUUUAGCCCUCAAUUGAUCAAUAAACUUCCAAUUUCUUCAAUUAGGCCCCUCAAUCAAUUCCAAACAGCCCCCUAUCUUUGCGCCUUUUCCAAAUUGGUCCCUGGUUUCGGAUUUUCACAAUUAACCCCUAAUUGGCCAUUAAACUUCAAUAUUUAUGCAAUUAAGCCCCUGAUUUGACUUAAUAAAAUCCUAAAAAAUAUAAUUUGGCCCCAGAACUUAAAUUUCUUCUAUUUAAAGCCCAAAUUGACUUAAAAAUCAAUUUUUCUUGCAAUCAAAUCCCCUAUAAAUCCAAUUAAAAAUUCAAUUAAGUCCAUAAACAUCCAAAUUUGGGCUUUUCUCCUCAAAAUUCAAAAUUCCCUUCUAAACAUGGCCCUCAUCCUUCAAGAAUAUACUGCCAAAAAAUCCAAUCUUUGUAUUUUUAUCCAAUCUUUGUAUUUUUAUAUUCCUUGACCAAUUUUCUGAUUAUUUUCCAAGCGCUUCUGCCUCCUGUUAUUUUUCUAACCUUCUUUGGCUAUUUAUUUUAUUUUAUUGCGGGGACCCAAAAAUGGGUUACAACAACCAUUAACAGGAUCUGCUAUGGAGUUCAGUUCUCGAUAAUGAUACCGACUGUCUCUGAGCUUUUCGGCUUGAAGCAUUUUGGUUUAUUUUACAACUUCAUGUCACUAGGAAAUCCUCUCGGUGCGUUCCUUUUCUCAGGUCUUUUCUAUGUUGAUAGUUUGCUAUCAUUUAGAUAUUAAAUUUAUUGUCGUAAAUGAAAUCAAUCUGUUUAGUUUGUGAUUGCUACUACCCAGAAGAGAAAUUCAACAUUCAACUUAUUCGUAAGCCUUUGAAAAUCCAACUUGUUUUCAUAUUUUUUAAUCUUUUUCAUAAAAUGCUAAGAGAACAUCGCGGGUUGGCCUAUGCUCGUGAUGAAAAUCAGCUGACGGCAUUGCAUGCGUUUGCCCAAAAGUCUUGUAUGCCUUCAAACGUCGUCGAUCAAAGUGCUCCAGGAUUUUGGAACAAAUGCCUCAACCCCUGUUAGUUCUCUGAUGCUCCAAAUCUCUGUUUCCUUGGAAAGAAAACCAGUCCAAAAAUUUCAGCACUUUAUACAUCUGUUCAUGGAUGCAUAUAUUGAAGCUUGCAAACUUGUGUGUUACAAGGAAUUAGCACUUGUCAUUUUAUCUUCAAUAUUUUUUUAAUAAAUAUCCAACAAUCCUAUAUAGAAUGCUCAAAGAAAUUUAUAGCAAUUUAACAUUUAAAAACACCAACAUUCUUGCAGAAGUGAUAUAUUGUACACCUCAAUACACAAAAUAUUUCGAAAUGUUACUGAUUUAUCAGAUCUGUUCACUCGUUGGCUAACUGCAUUUGUGUUUUACAUCUUUGAUUUAGAACAUUAACCCCAUUUCCCACAAUUCAAUUCUGUUAUAUUUAAUCCUCAGUUUCGGGUUUCAAAUUGGCUCGGAUGAAGAAACUUAUGCACAAAGAAGCACGUGACAUAAUCCAGUACCUUUGGGAACAGGUUGUAUUGUUGGAUGAUGCAACAAUUUCUCGUCAGAUUGGAUCGAGAACCCUGGCCAUUGAUAUUCACUGCUGCAGAAAGAGGGAAUCUUGACUUUCUAACAAUACUCAUUCGCUUGUAUCCUGAGUUGAUCUUCAAAGUUGAGCACAAUACGUAUAGCAUAUUUCAUAUUUCUAUCUUGAAUCGUCACGAGGACAUCUUCAAGAUUAUAUACCAGAUUGGUUCUAUCAAGAAUUUGAUAACAACAUACAAAGAUAGAGAAGGAAAUAAUAUGUUGCAUUUGGCUGCAAAAGUACUGGAAUCACCAAGUCGACUUAAUGUUAUACCAGGAGCAGCUUUACAACUGCAACGCGAAUUGCUGUGGUUUGAGGUGACCAUUCUCACUCUUUCCAUCAACAAAACACGUUUGAUUGUAGGUCAUAUGAGUUAAGCCAAACCUAACUCGUCCAUCAAAUGUGGAUCACGUUAUGAUAGGCGGAUAAGAUGUUCACAUGCACAAGCAAUAUUCUCCUUCUAUAUAUGAAUCUCACAGUCUCUCUACGUGAUCAUGAUUUCUAGGAAGUGAAAAAAGUCGUUCAACCACGGCACAUUAAUGAAGAAAAAAAUAUUCACGGGAAAACUCCAGGAGCUUUAUUUAUAGAACAGCACAAGGACUUGAUGAAAGAAGGGGAGCAAUGGAUGAGAGAUCCUGCCGAUUCAUGCAUGCUUGUAGCAACACUUAUUGCUACUGUGGUUUUUGCAGCAGCUUUUACCGUACCAGGAGGUAAUUCACAAGAUAAAGGGACUCCUGUUUUCCUUCUUUUUUUACUGUUUUCUUUUUUCAUUUUUCAAUUAAUCAUGUUUAAGCCUAAAGCUCCGCGUGUUAACUAAUUUCAUUUUCUUGGUGAUAAAUUACAAUAAUUAUUUUAAAACCUGAUUCGGAAUGAUGUGAAACAAGGCUUAAAUUACAUGUUAGGAAAGUAAAUCCAAGUUGAUCUAAAUUGAAAAAAAUAAUCAAAGUAUCAUUGUUUUGACAAAAAACAAUUCAAAAAAAGUCUUAAGCAUCGAGUUGAUUUAAAUUGAAAAAAAUAAUCAAAGUAUCAUUUUUUAUUGUGUUAGAUAAGAUCAAUCCUUCUUCUUCUUCUUUUUAACUCGAACUGGUCAAAGCAUCGAGUUGGUCGGAUCCCAUCUAUUAUCCCUCAAACACAUAAUAAGACAAAUUGUUCACUCUAGUUCAAAGCAUGCUAAACACAAGACAAGAUAAUUGUUUGUUUAGUCAUGUCCUAUCCACUUUAGUCCAAUUAAUAAUGUCCAACAUAUCAAACACUACCUAAUAGAACCUUGCCUAUAAAAUGCGCUUGCAAAAUUUGAACUAAAUUCAAUGAUUAAAUUAAAAAUUAUAUAUGUUUUUUUAGCAAGCUCAUUUGACUCGUCCUAAUUUGUUUUUAAGUCCAAACCCUAUAGAAAAAAAGAGUUAAGAAAUCGUGAAGCUCAACUUUCAACAAAUACAUAAUUAAAAGAUAAAAUUAAAAAGGAAAAUUCAUGAAAAAAAAGGGAUAAAAAAAGAUCAAUAUCAAAACAGGUUAACAUUUCAAAUUUGUGACCUGGAAUCAUGAUACCAGGACCACCCUAUCCAAAAAAUUAUGAAGCCUAACUUACAAUAAAUCCAAUUUUUAAGAAUGAAAUUGAUUUUAAAAAAAAAACACAAAACCAAAAAUUACAAUUAAAAGAAUGAAGAUCAAAUUUGACACAAAAAUAAAAUGACAGGACACCUUGUAAUUUUGGUAGACCAAUUCAAAUCCUGAGGAGAGGAAAAAGGAAAAAAAAAAAAAGGAGAAGAAAGAAAAGGUUGGUAGAGCCUCUCUCUUGACACACACCACACCAUUGGCAAGAGCUCGCUACGCUGCUUUAAAUAGAACUGUGGACGACAAUGUUCCAAAACUUGAAGAAGUUGCCCACGCUGCCAAAGCGUGGAGGCUUCACCCCACACAUUGUCAUGUGCAUUUCACACGCCAAUCAAAUUAUCUUGCUCAUCCUUUUCGGUUCCUAAAAGUAUUUUUUUUGUUUCAAAUUUGAUCCUUCAAGUCUCAAUUGUUUUAGAUCAAUAAAUUAAAUUUUAUCUUGCAAAAUCGAGAAUUAAACACAUAUAAAAUUUUUCCUCAACACCAUGGAAUCCCCAGCAUCUAGGCAAUAAAAAAAAAUCAAGUCAAAUCACAAGUAAACUCAAUUUAAAAGAAUCAAAUUAAAAAAAAAAAUUAAGGAAAGAAACAAGGGAGUUGAAUUUCUUCUUUGCUCGUGCAAUUCAGUCCUUGAUGUCUCCAAGAAAAAAGAGCAUUGUUGUUUGAUUAUCAAAUUAUGUGAUAAUUAAUGAAGUUGGUGCUAGAAUUAACUAAUUAUUAAAAAAAAAUUUGAGACAGAUGAGUUUGUUGCUUAAUUUUAACGUCGAAACAACGGAUGAGAAAAUAUUAGCAUAAAUCUGGAUAGGAUGAGGGUAGCAUUGGUUGAGUAAAAAGAAUAAGGACCAAUUGUAAACAUGCCAAAUAAAUGGAGGGCAUAUUUCUAUUUUUCCUGUCGUCAUUUCUUCGUUUCUUUCACUUCAGAGUUGGGAACUUCCUCUGUACUCAAAUAUUUUUCCAGAUCGAGGCAAGUCCUUCAGACAUCUUGAUCUUUAAAAUAUGCAGCCACUGCCUAAUUGGGCUAUCUUUUAUGAUCAUAUAAUUACUUUAGAGUUCUUCAUCUCACGCUGAAGGCCUUAUAUAGUUUAUAAACAAGGAAGCAAUGGAGAUUAGGAGUGGCAAUAAGAUUAAUGCAGCACCAGAAAGUACGCGGCCAAAAGAACGCCAACCUGAUAUCGAAGCCCCUGAAACUGUAGUCCCUCACUCCCUACUGGUAAUGGAACUAUUUAUAGAUAGUGAUCACAGAAUUAUCAAACACAUGGUGCUGCUAUAGUUCUUAAUACUGCUGUCAUUUUUUAUGCUGCACAUACUUUCUGCAUUCACUUUCCUGCUUUGGAUUAUGCUGCUAUGAUUUUCUAUGACCGUUCUGGGUUUUCGUUCCUGAAAAAGUGUUCUUCAACUGGUUGGAAGUCUUGCUUCUGCAGAUGCCAUGUUGUUUAUAAGACAGAGAGGGAACAAAAAAAAAAAAACACAGAGGGGAAAGCCAUAAGAGAAGCGCACAGGAGGAACAAGGAAGAACAGGGGAAGACGAAAACACAGAACAAAAGAGAGAGAAACGAGUGAACAGACACAAAAGGAGACUAAAAGAACACAGAGAGAAAGACGAACGAAAACCAGAAAAAAAGAAGAGAGGUGGAGGAGAGAACAAACGAACGAACAGAAGAAUACCAGAGGGAAAAAAAGAAAGACAGAGGACGCACGAGGAGAGAAAACCGGAGGCAGAGUGAAAAAGAGGAGAGGGACUGUAGAAUCUCCUUUAAAACUCCAGCAAGCGGGAGCAAGCUCAGACGAACAGAAAAAACAAGAGACAUGCGAACACGCGAGAACCAGAAGACAGGGACGAAAGAGAAGGAACAAACUCGGGAAGGAAGACCAGGGAGCAUAGAACAGAGGAAACCAGAGGAGAAAGCAAAUAGAAAACAGAAAGAAAGAGAGGAGAAUCGUUCAAAGCCAACGCUAUUCCCAGUCUUUCGCCUCCAGCAACGCCUGCAGAUCAGGUAAGUUUUUCGUUCCUGCUCUUCCAUUUAUAAUUAUAUAGUCACUGUGCAGCUUGAAUUUUAAUUAACCCUUCACUUCACUGUGCACGCAAGCGUUGCACGUGCCUCUGCUGGUGGGUUAAUAACCAAGUCGGGCGGCUGGGUCCAGCCCAGCCUGUUCAGGCUUAGCUAGACCCAGCCCCCCUAAAAAAAAAAAAAAAAAAAAGAAUUGUAGAAGCCGGGCUAGACCUGGAUCUUAGGCUAGAUCCAGUUAAAAAUAUAUAUAUACUUUGAUUUCAAUUUUAUUUAUUGUUUUAUUUAUUGAUGUUAGAAUCAAGAAUACAUACUGUUCGAGUUACAUAAUAUUUAUCAAUAUUAGAGUUAAAAAUAUUCAUAGGUGAAUAUUCACUAACGUUAGAAUUAGAAAUAUUAUAGCAAACCAUUAUAGCAUAAACCAACAAACUCUUAACAAUUUAAUUCAAAACUAGCAAUUCAGUCUAUCUUAGAUAGACCGUUUAAAGGGUGAUAAUAUAUUUUUUUUAGCGUAACUAAUCCCGUAUCAUAUAAUCUUUGUUGACCAGUUAGGGUUCGUAGUGACCAUAAUACUAGGUGACGACUUUUUAAACAAGAUCUUCCCCGUAAAAAAAACAAGAAGCUAGAAAUUUAUUCUUUUAUUUUAAAUUGUUUUUUAAGAUUGAUGUAAUGUUGGGUGUGACAUAUUGUAUAAAUCAUUAAUAAAAAAAAUCUUAUUACUAUAAAAAGUUUUUAAUCAACAUGAAAAUUCUAUUUUUUUUUAUCCUUAAGUUUUGUUAAGUAGAAUAAACUACAAAAAAUAUGAUUGAUUGUAAUAAUUUUAUUUUUAAAGACUAUAUUAAGUUUCUCAAUAAAUAUUUCAAUAUACUUCUAUUAAUACUUAAAAAAUAAUAUCAUUACUUCUUUUAAUAUUUUGAAAGAAUAAAAAGAGCAUGAGGAAAAAAAAAGGAUAAAGAAGAACGAAAAAAUAAAUUAUGGACGAGGAGACGAGCUAGGUUUGCGUGCUGGGAAUGUAAGUGUAAAGUCGCGAGUGUCUGGGUUUUCAAUAGUAACAAACUCCUCUAGUUUUAGUUUUAUAAAAUUACAUGAAUAUUACAUCCCACGUUGUUUUUCUUUAUAAUAUUUUAGGGUCAAUUAUAUUGUAGUCAUUGUAGUUUAUUGAAACUAAUUAAUUAGUCCUUGUACUGAAUAAUUAGUUCAUUGACAAACAUUGACCAUUUCAAUUUUUUAGUGUUUUUUUUUUGUUUUAGAAAAUAUCUGUUUUUAUCAACUCUUUCUACCUUUUUUGGAUCUCUGUUUCUUCUUUAUUUGUUUAUCUAUCAAAAAAACAAAAAAAAAUGUAUAAAAAAAUAAAAAUAAGAUUAAGCUAUAAAUGAAUUUAAGAAAAUAUAAAAAAUAAUAUAUAAUAUCUGAAAAAAUGUGUACUUUUCUUAUCAGUCCAUAGAUUGCGGAUGUGCCCAUUCUUUUCGAUCAUCUCCAAAGUAUUUUAUACAUAAAUAGGACUUUUCCUUUAUCAAUAUCAUAACCCUUUUUUUUAAUUAUCAAUAUUAGCUUGUUUAAAAGUAAAUAUUGUAUUUUAUUUUUUUAAUAAAAUAUAUUAAAAUAAUAUAUAUUUUAUUUUUAAAAAAAUUAACACAAAUGAUCAAAAUAAUAAAAAAAAUUAAAAAUUAUUAUUAUUAUUUUUAAAAAAUCAAAUUUAAAACAAAUAAUAUUCUAACCACGUACUGACAAACACAAUUGACGAAGACAAGUCUCAUUAUUGUUAUUAUUAUGUCAACUUGCCUAGGAACACUUUACAAGACACAAGUUGAGUUAGACGAGGUUUCUUUAGUUCCUUGAGGUCUUUUUUUAUUGAGGACAAACUACAAAUACAUCCUCCAUUUAUUUUUUGGGUUUCGAUUAUGUUGUUCUCCUCUUAAUUGCACCCAUUUUACCCUUAACCUACCCAAAGCAAUCCCAUUUCUUCCCUCUUCCCUUGUAUCACAUAUGAAACUCAUGCAUGUGAACUUUUCUUGUAGUGUCAACUUCAUUACUUCAUAACCUUGAAAGGAUUACUCUUGUGAUUAAAAAAGUUAACUCAUUUUCUUCUCUCAUUUUUUUGACGAUUUAGGUUUGAAUAUUAAGAUCAACAUCUAAAAUAAUUUAUUAAAUUUAUCUUAAUAUUGAUAUGAGAAAUAUAUAUCUAAAAUUUCAAUGAGAACAACUUAUUUUUGUUUUAUAACUCAUAAGCUGAUUUAAAACACCUUUUAUAAUCAAAUAAAAAAACCUUUAUGUUACAAUUAAAUUUAUUUGUAUAAAAAAUAUUUAUUUAUAUUCUAUAAUCAUAAAUUUUAUGAUUUUUAAUUUUAGGUGAUCGUGACAAAAAUAAAUAUGAUUCAAGGGAAGAAACGAUGAGCACUAUGCGGACUGGUUGAAGGUAGCAUUGGCUCAAUUAGAAGAAGAAGAAUCAAAUCAAAACCCGUCAGAUAAAUGGAGGGCACAUUUGUAGUUUGUCGCUUGACUAAAAUGAAGUUCAGCUGUUGAAAACAGAGUUCCUUUCGCCUCCUUUUCCAUGCUGUUUCAGAGCCAUUUCUUCGUGGCUUCCUCUCUGUAGCCAAACAGUUUCCCAGCUCGAGGUAAGUCCUUGAGAUAUGUUGAUCAAUAAGCUAUAUUGCUUUUGGGUCAUCUUUUCUGAUUCAUAGGUAGGCUAGGUCGCAAGGUUAACCCGAAUUUUUGAUUGUGUUAUGCCAAAUCAAUCCUUCUUCUUCUUCUUUUUUAACUUGAACCGGUCAAAGCAUUGAGUUGGUCGGAUCCCAUCUAUUAUCUUUCAAACACAUAAUAAGAUGAAUUGUUCAGUCUAGUUCAAAGCAUGCUACGCACAAGACAAGAUAAUUGUUUGUUUAGUCAUGUCCUAUCCACUCUAGUCCAAUUAAUAAUGUCGAACAUACCAAAUGCUACCUAAUAGAACCUAGCCUAUAAAAUGCGCUUGCAAAAUUUCAACUAGAUUCAAUGAUUGAAUUAAAAGUUAUAUAUAUAUUUUUAGCAAGCUCAUUUGACUCGUCCUAAUUUGUUUUUAAGUCCAAACCCUAUAGAAAAAAAGAGUUAAGAAAUCAUGAAGUUCAACUUUCAACAAAUACAUAAUUAAAAGAUAAAAUUAAAAAGGAAAAUUCAUGUAAAAAAUAAAACUAAGAAAACCGAUGUCAAAUUAGGUUAACCAUUCAAAUUUAUGACCUGGGUCAUGAUACCAGGACCACUCAAUCCAAAAAAUUAUGAAGCCCAACUUACAACAAAUCCAAUGUUUGAGGAUGAAAUUGAUUUUUUUUUUAAAAAAAAAACACAAAACAAAAAAUUACAAUUAAAAGAAUGAGGAUCAAAUUUGACACAAAAAUAAAAUAACAAGACACCUAAUAAUUUUGGUAGACCAAAAAUAAAAUCACAGCAUCCAUACUAAAUAGAUAUUAAAACUUGAACAUUGGAAAUAUAUGAGUGGCUUGGGGAUCAUGAACCCAAUGAUGAGUAAUCUAUUUGGCCUUUCAAUCUAAUAUUUUUAAAUAUUUGCCCUUCCUCAAACAAAGUUAUAAUGCUGUAAAUUAUGAUGGUAUUUAAAAAUGUAUUAAUGAUUAUUUUUUAAAAUAUUUUUUAUUUAAAAAUGUAUUAUAAUAAUAUAUAUUUUUUAUAUCAGCAUAUUAAAAUAAUCUAAAAAUAUAAAAAAAUACUUUUUUUCUUUAUUAUUUCUCGUAAAAUGCUCCAUAUAUAAUCCUUAUAAUGUGCAUAUCUCUAAUUAUAUUUCAGAAAAAUUGGAUUUCAAUAAAUAUCUUUCCUAGUAAUAGUAAUAACAACAACUAAAACAUAUUUGACAUUCACUAUUUUAAAAAAGUAGUUAUUAUGGACUGCAUUGUUUAUUUUGAAUAUUUUCAAUUUCAUCCUUGCCAUGUUAUUUUCUGUUUACAUUUCUUUUAAUUUGCCGUAUCAAGCAUGUUUUGAGUUUUGAGAGGAACUUAAUGAUCAAUUAGUCAAUUGGGGUUGAAAAUUAAAAUUAAAAGAAGAAGGACCAUAUUUAACAAAAAAAAAAACUUUUGUCUACCUAAUUUGAAGUACAUACGAAUCGUUUCAAAGCUUCAGUCCAACUAACAAUUCCAGAGCAUUCACACAAAAUAAAUUCAAGAGCUACUAUGUUCCAGUUGACAUUUCCUCGAAUUAUAACACGGGGUAAAUGAAAACUUUACCAUUUUCUGCCUUAUUCAACAGAUAUCCUACAAAUAAACUACACUGAGUUGCAUGCCUUGGGUUUGUCUUAGGUAAUAUCCAUUACUCGUUCUUACGAUUUGAAGGAGAUAUAUGAGAAAGAACUUGCUGAAUGCUGAAAGCAAAUUGUGAAGAAAUGAUUUUCUUCAUUACAUUGCUAUAAAGAACACAUUUUCAGACAUUAUUUAUACUACUGAGAUGAGAUAAGAUUGACCAUCUAAAUCUUCCCUUUGAAAUGUAGAAACAAUGCAAAGUUGAGAUUUAUUUAUACCAAAGGCUUCCAAACUCUGAUUCUGAAUGGCUUAAGAAGAUUGUCCGCAACAAAGUAGUAGCAAGUGUUGAUGCUCUUCUCAAUGAAAUAAAACCAUGCUCGCCGCCAGUCUGGGUUUAUGUACAAAACUGCAGCUAUUCCCAACAGCACCAUGAUGUACGUCACAACAAAGCUCACACAGAAAACUUGUGCAUCAAUGAUGACGCUACUCUCUUCUUUCUCAUCAGUAGAAGGCCCAGGUGGUGGUGGUGGUACUUCUUUGGUGCAAUUGUUAAGCAGUGGUGGUCCACAAAGUAAGGGAUUUCCCUCGUAGCUGCUCUUAUUGAAUGUUGAGAAUUGUGCAACCAUCUCAGGAGUCUUACCAGACAGGUUAUUGUUGGCUACACUAAAAUAGGCAAGAAAAUGCAAUUGUACAAGUUGAGGAGGGAUUUCCCCAUUCAAGCUGUUAUUGGAAAGGUCCAUGCUCUCAACUUCACUCAAAUUUGAAAGAGUUUGUGGGAUUGGGCCUAUUAAAUGAUUGUUGGACAGGUUCAAUACACGAAUGUGGUUGAGAUUCCCAAUUUCAGGAGGAAUCGCACCUGACAAACUGUUGCAGGAGAGAUCCAAUCCGGUCAUGUAGUACAAAAUACUUGGCGGAUAAGAAUAAGACAGACUCUUUGUUGCAAUAACCAAUGGUUCUCGAAGAGAAUACAUAAAGAUAUGCUUCGCUAGAGAUGAACCAAAUACUGCUUUUAAAUCUUAGGCAAGGUAGAAUAUGACCAGAAAAAUUAUUAUGAGAAAGAUCAAUGAAGCUUAAUUUGUUCAACUUGCACAAUUGCGUGGGUAUACUGCCAUCAAGAUUAUUAUAACCCAAGAGAAGAAAGCUCAGUUGGGAAAACUCACCAAUCCAUUUUGGAAUGCUACCAGUCAAAUGAUUAUGGCUAAGAUCCAACGUUAUUAGCUCAAAGGAUUUCUGAAAUGCAUGUUCUAGGGAUCCUUGUAGCAUAUUUCGUGACAGAUAAACAUGCAGGAGGUUUGAAGAGUUAAAGAAAGAUGGUAAGGUUCCAGAGAUGUUGUUAUUUGAGAGGUCCAAAACUUGAAGAUACAACAGAAAGUCAAAUGAAGAGGGAACGCGACCACUGAAGUGGUUAUCAGACAUGGAUAAAAAUGUUAAAUUUGGAAAAUAUGAUCCUAUUUCUCUAGGAAUGUGGCUUUCGAAGUUAUUGUUAGAAAUAUCUAAUUCAGACAAAUUCUGAUGAGGAUGAAUUGGCAAUUGAAAAGUCCCUGAAAGAGAAUUGUUGACCAAAUGGAGUUCAUUUAGGUUUGUGUUGUUCUCUAACAACCAAAUAGGAAACCCUCCCCUCAAUUUCAGGUUAGAAAAAUCAAUUACUUGGAGGCUGUAUUGAUGGAGGAGGAAUUUGGGAAAGGAAAAUGCUCCACCAUAUCCAUUGCCAGAUAAAUAAGACCUCUAAUUGGAACUUUGGGGCCAAAUUAUGCUCCUCUAAUUCUUCAACAUAUAUUUCGUUAUUGCUACCAUCGAAAUACUUGAGUUGUGAAUGGUUGAGAAAUGAGCUCAAUGAGACGGGGAUCUGAAAGUGGUUGUCUAAAAGUGAUAACUCUCGAAUGGAUGUGAGACUUGUAAGAGGAGAGAAGGAAAUGUCUCCCAUAAAGUUAUUGGAAGACAAAUUUAAUUGUUGAAGGGAUGUCAAAUUUGCCAAACACCAAGGCAAAGCACCACUGAGAUCAUUCCCGUUGAUAUCUAGAUUUUGAAGAUGCUUUAACUGACAUAGGCCUGAGAAUUUAUUGAUUCAUAAAAAUUUUAGUUAGAGAAGAAGCAGAACGCCAAAGGAGGGGAAAGGUGGUCAGACUUACCUUGGGCUUUAGGGAUGGAGCCAUUGAGUCGACAACCAUACAAUCUUAAACUCUUUAGAGUAGUAAUAUUCCCGACUGUUUGUAGAAAGCUAUUAUCGAUAGUGGAGGAACUCAAAUCCAACUCUUCUAAAUUCUUGAGAGAAGCCAAGUCUACAAUAAUCAAACCCACAAGAAAUUAUGCUCGGUAUUCAAGAGCCGGAUAAUGAUAAGGAAACAAAGAUGAUGAAACCAACAAGAAGCUCCAUUAUAAUGAUAAGGAAACAAGAUGAUGAAACCAACAAGAAGCAGAACGCCCAAGGAGGGUAAAGGUGGUUAGACUUACCUUGGGCUUUAGGGGUGGAGCCACUGAGUCGACAUCCAUCCAAUCUUAAACUCUUUAGAGUAGUAAUCUUCCCGACUGUUUGCAGAAAGCUAUUAUCGACAGUGGAGGAACUCAAAUCCAACUCUUCUAAAUUCUUGAAAGAAGCCAAGUCUACAAUAAUCAAACCCACAAGAAAUUAUGCUCGGUAUUCAAGAGCCGGAUAAUGAUAAGGAAACAAGAUGAUGAAACCAAUAAGAAGCUCCAUUAUAAUGUCCCCACUACAAUCAAUUAAAUUCCUAUACUAGGCAAAUAUGAUUUAAAGCACGUUUACAAAGAAAAAAAGAACAAUUAACAGAUAUUCAGGUUCGCUUUUAGGCAUCAAUACCACAAAUUACCUUUAUCUAAUGUUGUUCCGAAACUUCCUUGAAGAUUAUUCUCAUCCAAAGAAAGGGUCUUGAGGUUUGGGAAUUUCGUCAACGAUUGCAGCAAUGCAAAUGGAAGAGCUCUUCCAUUUAAGGUGUUAUUAGAUAAUGAAAUGAGGCUUACAUUUCCAAAACCUCUAGUAUCUACAGGGGACAGCAGAAGUAAAACAAAUUUUAAAACCUUCUGAGCUUUUAUUCUUGAGCAAAAUCAUCCGCGAAAAUACAAUUCAAUUAAUGAGAUUUUAGGUUGAUUAAGCGGUAAAGCUACCAUCAAUCAGUGUGGAAAGCAAUCAAUACCUUUGGAUAACAUAAAUUUGUCAAUCUUGUUUCCCGCUAGAUCCAGGCUCUCUAAGUUGAUCAAAGCAUCCAGCUCUAGGUUGUCGAAAAACAGAAAUUUAAUAUUACAUCACAGCAAAAAUCACAGAUUGGUUUCUAGGAAUCGAAAAAGGUGAGGUUACCAGUCACAUUGAAUGAUCCUUUCAGUUGGUUGUACCCUAUAUCCAGGGAUUUGAGAGAUGAAAGACCCUUGAGGGAUGAUAAGGUACUGUCAUUGAAGCGAUUACCAUUCAAAACAAGGUAUUCCAGAUUUCUUAACCUCAGUAAGCCGUCACCAGUACCUAUAAAAAUACAAUAAGCUUUCAUGUAACCUGAAAGGAUAAUGGAGUACUUAUGUGUGAAAACAAAUGCUCAAUCAACUCACAACUCUUUCAUACCAUGAAUGGAUUUAAAGCUUUCAAUUUCAUUGCCACCAAAAUCCAACGACUGCAAGCUUGUUAGAUUAUUCAGUUCUGGCCAAAUAUAAUUGUAUCAAGUACAACAAUUAAAAAAAGGGCAGUAAUUAACAUUGUUUUAUUUGGGAAAGAAAAGGAGAGAAGUGAUCAAGCUUAAUUACCAUCAACACUAAUUGCUCCUUUGAGUUGGUUACCAGAUAGAGACAGGGUUCUCAAAGAGGAAAGCCCACCAAGGGAUGAAAGGAUGCUGUUGUCGAAUUUGUUUCCGCCUAAAUCGAGAUCCUCCAAGCUGUCAAGUCUUUCAAAACCUGCAUGGGCAUUUCAAUCAGUAGCUUGAAAAAUAUAGAAUCUAUCCUGUUGAAAAACCUGCAUGGGCACGCAAACAAGAGAUAAACCUUCAUUCUCAACACAGCCAACUAUAAAAUUUCCAGUACCUAUAAAAAUGCCAUAAGCUUUCAUGUAACCUGAAAGGAUAAUGGAGUACUUAUGUGUGAAAACAAAUGCUCAAUCAACUCACAACUCUUUCAUACCAUGAAUGGAUUUAAAGCUUUCAAUUUCAUUGCCACCAAAAUCCAACGACCACAAGCUUGUUAGAUUAUUCAGUUCUGGCCAAAUAUAAUUGUACCAAGUACAACAAUUAAAAAAAGGGCAGUAAUUAACAUGGUUUUAUUUGAGAAAGAAAAGGAGAGAAGUGAUCAAGCUUAAUUACCAUCAACACUAAUUGCUCCUUUGAGUUGGUUACGAUAUAGAGACAGGGUUCUUAAAGAGGAAAGCCCACCAAGGGAUGAAAGGAUGCUGUUGUCGAAUUUGUUUUCUUCUAAAUAGAGCUCCACCAAGCUGUCAAGUCCGGAUAGUCUUUCAAAACCUGCAUGGGCAUUUCAAUCAGUAGCUUGAAAAAUAUUUUCUUUUUUUUACCUAUUGAAAAAAGUAGCACGCAAACAAGAGAUAAACCUUCAUUCUCAACACAGCCAACUAUAAAAUUUCCCCUUAAAUAAAGAGAUUGCAGUUCUUGGAAGGGACGAAACAAAGAGACAUUUAGGUACAAAUCUCCCAAUCCCUCUUCCCUUAUGCCUCCAAGACUAAGUUCGACAACUCGUCCUGUAGUGAAAUUGCAGUAAACGCGUUCCCAAGAACAACAGUCGGCUACUUUCCCCCAAGAUUGAAGGAAGAUUGAGUAAUUAUUAAAGGAGCUUUGAAUCCGCAAGAGAGCACUUCUCUCUUCGUCUAAACAACCGUGACAUGACCACCAGCUUUGUGACAAAACCAUAGCAUAAAUCAUCAGUGUCCCUGCUAAAGAAGAGAACCUGUUUAAACCCAUUUGGACUCCUCGAUGAAAUUAUGUAUCGAAAAACAACGGUCAGAGGCUCUUUAUAAAUAAGAUCGUUGGACUGCAAUUUGCAAUAUCACAAUCAAAUGUCAUAAUUUUCCACUGGCCAUAGACAAAGUCCUCUCUUUCGGCUUAUUUUCCAAAUUCAUAUUCUUCGUGGAAAGUGCUAGGCUGUUAGCGUAUCCUCCGUAACUUGGGACUAGGCUGGUAUGAGGUUGGAAGGAUUUUAAACAAGUUGCUAUUUUAACUUUAAUUUAAUAAUAAAUAAUAAAUAUGAUGGGUACAAAGGGGAGAAUAUACAUGAUAAACUUUUUUUGUUUUCUACAAUAAUAGCGACAUAGACAAAUGAAAUGGUCAUCGCAUGCAAUGUCUUCCCUACGGAAAAAACAGUGCCAUCAGUGUCAGUCUUGUUAAUGGUAGUAGAAAAUUCAAAGAGUCUUGCAGUGAAGAUUUUUAAUCAUUUAGGUUUCACUAAUCGUUUUUUUAAUCAUAUAUAUAUAUGUAUAUAUAUAUAUAUUUUAUAAACGUUCAGUCUGAAGUAGGUAUUAAAAUAAUAUGAUGUUGAGCCAAAUUGAAUUUAAUAAUAAUAAUAUAAUCACCUAGUUAAUAUUGUAUUUUAAUAUAAAAUGCAUGUUUGAUAUUAUAAUGUAAAUGUUUUUUUACUUAAAAAUAUAUUAAAAUAUUUUUUUAAUUUUUUAUAUUUUCAAUAUUAACUUAUCAAAUAAUAAAAAAACAAUAAAAAUUAAAUUAAUAUAAUUUUGAGUCAAAUUGAAUUUAAUAAUAAUGGUAUAAUUAGUUAAUUAAUAUUGUAUUUUAAUAUAAAAUAAAUAUAUGAUAUUAUGGUGUAUAUAUUUUUUACUUGAAAAUAUAUUAAAAUAUUUUUUAAAAUUUUUAAUAUUAACUUAUCAAAUAGAAUUUUUUUUUUUCAUUUUAACAAGACUGCAACUUUGUCCUUGCAGCGAAGCUCUCCAGUUUGCAAUAUCAUAAUCAUAGUUUUAAAACCCGUACCGGCCCUGCGGGUUGACCCGGGACCCGGCCGACCCGGGCAUGAGACCGGUCCGGGUGGAGGCCAAAACCCGGUUGGGAAUUGGCCCGGCCCUACCUGGUCGACCCGGGACCCAUCAAGACCCGGCCUCAAACUCGUUGAUUUUUAUUUUUUAUUUUUUAUUUUUACUAAAACGACGUCGUUUUGAUUUUUUCAAAGAAAAAAUUUGACCCGGCUGACCCGGUCAAAACCCGGAACCCGGGCCUUGGACCGGACCGACCACCGAGCCGGGUCUUAAAACUAUGAUCAGUCUUAAAACUAUGAUCACAAUCAAUUGUCAUAAUUUUCCAUAGACAAAGUCCUCUCUUUACAGCCCCACCGCGCGACUUGGGACUAGGCUGGUAUGAGGUUGGAAGGAUUUUAAAUAAACAGGGGAAAUUAAAUUCCGGGUGAUUUAACUAGUUGUUGAGCUAGUUAAAAUUCACUGAUAAUUUUUUUUUAAUUAAAAUAAUAUAAUUUUAAUUUAUAAAAAAAAUUAAAGCUGAUUUAGGUCGAUCACAGGCGGGGUUGGAAAUCUGUGAUUGCCUCAACACACUUGAUGGGGAAAAUUGGCCCCCGUUAAUUUCUUUAACAGCUUAAGGAAACCCUCAUAGUUUAGUGUUAGUUUAGUUUAGCCCUUCAUGUUUAUAAUAAAUAGCCCUUCUUGAAAUUGUCCUCUUUUCUAGAUUUAUUAUAUUCCAAAAAUUAAAAAUCCAUAUCAUUUGGCGAAAAUUACAACCCAUUUAUGGCUUAUUUAUGUUUUUAAAUAAUUUUAGAAUUGCAGAAAUUUAGUAUGGAUCUUGCUAAGAUUUUUACCCCUCUAUGAUUUUAUUUUCUUACCAAUUUAAACCCAUAUAAUGGCAAACUAGAAAUAGAUCAUAGAUCUAGGGGAAAAGUUUUAAUAAGUUUUUCAAAAAGGGUAUAUAAAUAAAAUUAUUUAUGUGAUAAUUAAAGUUCUCUCAAUCAAAAAAUUUAUAGAGGGUGGUGACUAUCCCCUCCAAUUCUCCAAACUCACAUUGAACCCACUUAACCCUUGCUUUAUCCAUCAACACCUUUAAAUUUUUUUUUCAAAGACUAUAUCGUAUCUUAUAAAUUGGGUUGUUUUCAAGAGAAACGCACAAAUAAUUCAUUUAAGUUUUAUAUCAGAAUUUUUGUGACCAAUUCCUCUUCUUAUGGCUGGAUAUGAAUGAGUUUGUAUUGUGAUACGAAAACCCGGAACAUAUAGAAAAAAAUAAUGUUUUACGGUAUAUUAUUUUGCGUGUGAAUAUUUUUUUACUUUUUUUGUUUUCUACAAUAAUAGAGAAAUAGACAAAUUAAAUGGUCUUUCUAUGCAAUGUCUUCCCUACGGCAAAGAUAGUGCGCCAUCAAUAUCAGUCUUGUUAGUGGUCGUAGAAAAUGACAUCUCAACAACACAUAAACAAGUUGCUAUUUUAACUUUAAUUUAAUAAUAAAUAAUAAAUAUGAUGGGUACAAAGGGGAGAUAAACUUUUUUUGUUUUCCACAGUAAUAGAGACAUAGACAAAUGAAGUGGUCAUCGCAUGCAAUGUCUUCCCUACGGCAAAAACAGUGCCAUCAGUGUCAGUCUUGUUAAUGGUAGUAGAAAAUUCAAAGAGUCUAGCUACGAGUGAAAUCCUUCGCUUUGUGGACCAAAAGCUGCAGUGAAGAUUUUUAAAAUUUUAGAUGUGUUUAUUUUUUAUAAAGUGAUUUUUGAGAAAUUAUGUUUUUAAAAUUUUUUGUAUUUGUUUGUUAUUAAAAAAGAUGGUCAAUAAAAAAUACUUUCUGGUCAAUAAAAAAUACUUUCCACUUAAAAAAUUUAACUUGAUUUCUAUCAAAGUGUUUUUCUUUUAUUUUGAGUGGAAAACACUUUUUGAAAAUUGUGAAAAAAUUAGAAAUGUCAUAUUAUUUGCUGAUUAUAUCAAAUUUGGUCCUCAAACUUUUAAUUGCUAUAUAUAUUUUGUUUUGAAUAUUUGUUUUUUAAUUUCAUCCCUUAGAAUUUAAUUUUUAUAUUAACUUUGGUCCUCAUUUUUAUAAUUGCUAUUUGAUUUUCCCUUAUCAUUUUUUAAUUAAGGUUUUUCAUCUAUCAAAUUUGGUCCUCAUUCUUUUGAUUGUUACUUAUUCUAUUUGAAAUAAUUUAUGAAAUGUUAAUUAUUAUUAUUUUAAUUUCUUCAUCUUUCAAUUUUUUUUAUUUUUUAGAUUUGAUCUCUAUUAUUUUGAUUAUUAUUUAUUUUAUUUGAGAUAAUUUAUGAAAUUAUAUUUUUUUCAAUUUUAUUCUCAUUCAACUUUUUAAUUUGUAAGAUUUGUUUCUCGUUAUUUUAAUAAAUUUGAGAAAAAUAAAAUAUUAAUAAGUUAUUUUCCAACUCAUUUUCCAUGACAUAACCAAACACUGGAAAGUGUUUUCCAACUUAUUUUUCAUCACACUACCAAAUAUCAGGAAAUACUUUCUCGGAAUUCACUUUUCCGAAAUUCUCUUUCCUUGGAAUUCACUUUCCAAAAAAAAAAAUUACUUUCCAGCAAAUAAACGAUGCCUUUUUAUAUAUAUAUAUAUAUAUAUAUAUAAAAGUUCAGUCUAAAAUAGGUAUUAAAAUAAUAUGAUGUUGAGCCAAAUUGAAUUUAAUAAUAAUAAUAAUAAUAAUAAUAUAAUCAGCUAGUUAAUAUUGUAUUUUUAUAUAAAAUGCAUGUUUGAGAUUGUGAUGUAAAUUUUGUUUACUUAAAAAUAUAUUAAAAUAUUUUUUAAAAUUUUUAUAUUUUCAAUAUUAACUUAUCAAAUAAUAAAAAAACAAUAAAUUUAAAAUAAUAUGAUCUUAAGUCAAAUUGAAUUUAAUAAUAAUGUUAUAAUUAGUUAAUUAAUAUUGUAUUUUAAUAUAAAAUGAAUGUAUGAUAUUAUGGUUUAAAUAUUUUUUACUUGAAAAUAUAUUAAAAUUUUAAUUUAACAAGACUGGAACUUUGUCCUUGCAGCGAAGCUUUGUUUUAUUUUUUGUUUUAUAUAUAUAUUUUUUAUAUAUAACGUUUCUACCAAGCAAAGUUGAGAACGAAUCAUUUCUUUUCAUUUAUGCUUUGUAGAUUAGUUCCUUUACUAGUCAUAUAGUCCCAUUAUAUUAGUGUUAGAGGACGGUUUGAAACAUUAGUUUAAAAAAACAUUGAUGGUGGCUAUUAAGAGCAUGUUUAUUUUUUAUUUUUAAAAAAAAUAUAUUUUUUAUUUUAAUUUAUUUUUUAUAAUUUUAAAUCAUUUUGAUAUAUUAAUACUAAAAAUAAAUUAAAAAAAAAAAAAAAUAUUAUUUUAAUAUAUUUUUUAAAUAAAAAAUAAACUCGUGGAAUUCAAUUCCACGCUAUCGACCCUGUGGUUUGGAUGGAAUUGGUCGUCGUCAUCACAUGAUUUUCCAUAUGUAAUAAAGUCUUCUUUAUUUGGCUUUUUGUCCCAUUGAUUCUUCGAGGAAAUUCCCAAGUUUUUGCUUUACAUCAAUAUUAAUUCAAUGGCUGGUAACACACAUGACUCUCGUCUCUCUGUUACGUUCUUUUUACUUUUCGCUGUGGUUUUUGAACCCUAUCCAAGGUUGAUCUGCAGCAAAUCUUGGAUUGUGGGUCAGGUGAAACUUGAGAAGGUUAUUUAUCAAGAAAUUCUCAAAUCCUACCAAUGUCAAUUCUAACUUAGCAACAUCGUCUUUUUAUUUGUUAAUAAUAUAUUUAAAUAAAAAUCAAGAUUCAAAUUAAUUUAAAUAAUAUAGUUAAAUGAAAAGAAGAUUUCAAUUAAUUUCACUCUUUCUUUCAUUUUUUUUCUUUCAAAACCUUCACCAUGCUAAUCCUUCUGAUCAGCUAUCAUGUCUCCCUUCUUUGAUAUUGUUAUCAAAUAGCAAAAGUGCAAAUAAUCAUGCUCUUGGAGAUCAAAAUUAUCCUACAAAUCAACAAUUCCAUUCAUAUAGGAUUUUAAAUUUUCUUGUUUCAAAGUUCUUGUUCAAGAUUUUAAUGAUAAAAUUGAUAAAAAAAGUGUAUAUUUGAUAUGCUAGUGACAAAAUGUAUAGGCAAUUUUUAUAAUAUAUAUGUUGGUUCUUUAAAAAAAAAAAAACAAUUAUAAUAAUCUAGAAGAUGAAAUCCCAAUCCAGUUGUGCAAGUUAGAGGAAUUGAGUUUGAUUGAUCUGUCUCAUAAUAAUUUAUAUGGUCAUAUUCUUCCAUGCCUAAAUUCUAGCAGUAAUUGGCAGAGGGAACAUGAAGCAAUUUCAAAUCCUUCUGGAAUCGCUUCAGCACUUGAAUCGGUAAUCCUAUCCCCAUGGAAGACCCUUCUCUUCAGACAUCUUUAGAUUUUAAAACAAAGAGUAUAUGCUACUCCUUCAAGGAAAUGAUUCUCACUUACCUCUCUGGUAUAGACCUCUCCUGCAAUAAUUUUAUAGGCGAGAUUCCUUUUCAACUUGGAUACCUUAGCAAUAUCGAGGUGUUGAAUAUGUCCUUUAACAGUUUAGCUGGUCCAAUCCCACUGACAUUUUCAAACCUGAAGGAAAUUGAAAGCAUGGAUCUUUCCUACAACAAUUUGAAUGGGAAAUUCCUCGUUAGCUACUUGACUUGCAUUUUCUAUCUUUUUUUAGUGUAGCAUACAAUAACUUAUCUGGCAGAACUCUAGAUAUGGUUCCACAAUUCUCAACAUUCAACGAGUCUAGCUACGAGGGAAAUCCUUUGCUUUGUGGACCAUCACUCCCCAAAAGUUGCACUGAAGUGGUACCACCAUCAGCGUUGCCAAGGACUCAGACUGAUGAAAAAGAAGACAAUGGCUUCAUAGAAAUAGAGGCUUUCUAUGUGAUAUUCUCAGUGUCAUAUAUCCUGGUCUUGUUGGUAAUAGGUGCAGUUCUGUAUAUAAACCCACGUUGACGACGAGCAUGGUUUUACUUCAUAGAGGAGAGAAUCAAUAAAUGCUAUUACUUUCUGGUAGACAAUCUACCUGUGUCAGCCAGGUUCAAAGGAUUUCAGCCUUGUGUGCAAAAUGGUAUUGGCUUUAUGUGUAUUCUGUUUGGUGUCUACAUUUCAAAAUCAUGAUUGAUCAAUAAAUUAGUCUUAUAAUAAACGGAGUAAAUAAAUGUUCAAAACACUUUGCUCUUGCAGGAAAGCUCUGCUUUUUUUUUUUCUAACGUUUCUACCAAGCAAAGUUGCAACAGAACGAAUCAUUUCUUUUGAUUAUGCUUUGUAGAUUAGUUCCUUUACUAGUCAUAUAGUCCCCACCUUCCUUGGAAUUGAGGAUUUGUUAAAACUACUUACUUUCUGAUGUUUGAAAGAGAAACGAGUUCCAGGACCCAAAGGCAUGGACAAGACAACAAUGGUUGAUUUUUGUUGUGUGCUUUGAUGAACCUUGUGGGGCCCAGUAGCAACUAGCAGCUAUAUUUGCAAGAAAAAUAGAGUUUUGUACCUUUCCAAUGGUGCAAUUCUCUUGUGCAAUUUGGAGAUUUCUGUUGCAGAUGUGUGGAAUUUGCAGACAUGUGGGUGAUUGACAAGCUGAAAUUCAUGGGACAAUGUUAAAUCUCCAGAAUAUUUUGCUUCCGAGACUUAUUUGCCAGUUGUUAUUUUGAAAUUUAUGCUAGCUUAUAUUUCUUCAAUUUAUUAUUUGAAUCAAAACAGAAUAGAUUCCAUCUGUUUUUUGAAUUCAAAUUAAACAUAAUGCUACCUAUAUAUACCACUAGAAGAAUGUGUGCAAUUCUCAUCAUUUUCCUGAUUUUAAAACCUAUAGCUAUUAUACAAUUAUCUCUGCCACUCAACUGUAUAUGGAGCUAGGAAUGAAAGAAACAGCAGAGUUCAUGAUGAGACUAGCUCCAGAAGCUCAGGUCAAAUCGUGGGAGAUUCAAAUGGUUAAAUACACACUUCAAGAUUUCAGAUUUCCACUCUUAUGAAGAAAGCUUGUUCUAAGUACUCUAAACAUGAUCUAGUCAGCAGGAACUAAUCAGUUAUUUGUUUAUUUAUUUAUAGUUUUUGUGAAUUUUCUUAGUAGGUUAUUUUUCAUAGAUGUGAAACCUAGUUUGAUCUGAUAUAUUCACUUUGAAGUCCCAUUAUAUUAGUGUUAGAUUUGUUAUUGGACGGUAUGAAACAUUAGUUUAGUCAAACUUGAACCCAUUCAUAAUAAAAAUUUUAAAAAGCAUUCACCGUGGCUAUCAAGAGCAUGUUUGUUUUUGCAUUUAAAAAAAAUAACAGAGAGACCAAUAUGCCAACAAGCUAUAAUAAUAGAACCCACGGGUUGAUUGAUCAAACCCUGACACCAAGAUCUGGGGACUGCUGAAGAACACCUUGAAAAAUCUUGCAUUUUACUCUUACUUUUUACAAGAGACAGAUGAACUGGUCAUCGCGCGCGACGUGUUCCCUACGGCCGAGAAUAAUGCAGUGGCUGUCAGUGUUGUUAGUGGUUGUGGAAAAUUACACGCUAUGACGAAGAAGAAGGUUGCUGCAUUCAUUCAUCGCUUGACCUGAUGAUGGCCCGAUGGGUCUUUCCAUGCAAUGUCUUCCCUACGGCAAAGACAGUGCGCCAUCAAUAUCAGUCUUGUUAGUGGUCGUAGAAAAUGACAUCUCAACCACACAUAAACAAGUUGCUAUUUUAACUUUAAUUUAAUAAUAAAUAAUAAAUAUGAUGGGUACAAAGGGGAGAAUAUACAUGAUAAACUUUUUUUGUUUUCCACAAUAAUAGAGACAUAGACAAAUGAAAUGGUCAUCGCAUGCAAUGUCUUUCCUACGGCAAAAACAGUGCCAUCAGUGUCAGUCUUGUUAAUGGUAGUAGAAAAUUCAAAGAGUGAGUGAAAUCCUUUGCUUUGUGGACCAAAAGCUGCAGUGAAGAUUUUUAAUCAUUUAGGUUUCACUGAUCAUUUCUUUAAUUUUGCUGUGUUUGUUUUUUAUAAAGUAAUUUUUGAAAAAUUAUUUUUUGAAAUUUUUUAUAUUUUUUGUUAUUAGAAAAAUUGGUCAAUAAAAAAUAUUUUCUGGUCAACAAAAAAUACUUUUCAGUCAAAGAAAAAUUUGACUUGGUUUUCAGGAAAGUGUUUUCCUUUUAUUUUGGGUGAAAAACACUUUCCGAAAAUUAUAAAAAAUUUUAAAAUAUCAUAUUAUUUGCUGAUUAUAUCAAAUUUGGUCAUCAAACUUUUGAUUGCUAUAUAUAUUUUGUUUUGAAUAUUUAUUUUUCAAUUUCAUCCCUUAGAAUUUAAUUUUUAUAUUAACUUUGGUCCUCAGUUUUAUAAUUGCUAUUUGAUUUUUCCUUAUCAUUUUUUAAUUAAAGUUUUUUAUCUAUCAAAUUUGGUACUCAUUCUUUUGAUUGUUACUUAUUUUAUUUGAAAUAAUUUAUGAAAUGUUAAUUAUUAUUAUUUUAAUUUCUUUAUCUUCCCAUUUUUUUUAUUUUUUAGAUUUGAUCUCUAUUAUUUUGAUUAUUAUUUAUUUUAUUUGAGAUAAUUUUUGAAAUUAUAUUUUUUUCAAUUUUAUUCUCAUUCAACUUUUUAUUUUGUAAGAUUUGUUCCUCGUUAUUUUAAUAAAUUUGAGAAAAAUAAAAUAUUAAUAAGUUAUUUUCCAGUUCAUUUUCCAUGACAAAACCAAAUACUGGAAAAUGUUUUCCAAUUUAUUUUCCAUCACACUACCAAACAUCGGGAAAUACUUUUUUGGAAUUCACUUUCCCGGAAUUCUCUUUCUUUGAAAUUCACUUUCCAAAAAAAAACUACUUUCCAGCAAAUAAACAAUGCUUAUAUAUAUAUGCUUAGAUUUCCUCAGCUUUAUAUAAGCAAAUAAACAAUGCUUAGAUUUCCUCAGCUGACUUCGAGUCAAGGCGUAGAGCUUCAAUUCCACGCAAUGGAUCCUGUGGUUUGGAUGGAAUUGGUCGUCGUCAUCACAUGAUUUUCCAUAUGUAAUAAAGUCUUCUUUAUUUGGCUUAUUGUCCCAUUGAUUCUUCGAGGAAAUUCCCAAGUUUUUGCUUUACAUCAAUAUUAAUUCAAUGGCUGGUAACACACAUGACUCUCGUCUCUCUGUUACGUUCCUUUUACUUUUCAACAUGGUUUUUAAACCCUAUCCAAGGAGCUUAUAUGACCUAACAACCACCAUUUUGAUGCCUAAUUGAUUUACAUGAUCUACAUUUAAAAGGUUAAAAAAACCAAAUCAUCUAAACCAUGCAAGUCUUGGCUUAGAGCCAGUGACUUUAUAAACAAAAUAUGAAACACAGAAAAACCAAAUCAAAGGAUGCCAAGAUGAUUUUCAUUCUCAAAUUGUGUCAUGAUGGGGCUUAGUUCUAGGAAUAAUACUGUCACUCCAUCUAUUGGACAUUGCGAGCAUCCUCUGAGAAUUAAGUUGCAUCGGUUUUCUUCUGUUAUAUGCUCCAGGUAUUGAUGCUCGUAGACGGAGAAAACAUAUGCAUAAAAAGCAUAGCUCAUGUUCUGCCAAAAUGUCAUAUAAGAUGAUUUUCAUUCUCAAAUUUCAACCUUGCCAUAUUAUUUUCUGUAUCAAGCUUGUUUUGAGUUUUGAGAGGAACUUAAUGAUCAGUCUUGUUACUGGUUGUGGAAAAUUACACGUUAUGACAAAGAAGAAGGUUGCUGCAUUCAUUCAUCGCUUGACCUGAUGAUGACUCGAUGGGCCACCUGCUAUGACAAAAGAAAAGAAAGCUGUUAACCGUGGUCAAAGCAUGUUUUUAGUUUUGAGAGGAACUUAAUGAUCAAUUAGUCAAUUGGGGCUGAAAAUUAAAAUUGAAAGAACAAGGACCAUAUUUAACAAAAAAAACUUUAGUCUACCUAAUUUGAAGUACAUACGAAUCGUUUCAAAGCUUCAGUCUAACUAACAAUUCCAGAGCAUUCACACAAAAUAAAUUCCAGAGCUACUCUGUUCAAGUUGACAUCUCCAGUUAACACGGGCUAAAUGAAAACUUUACCAUUUUCUGCCAUAUUCAACAGAUACUCCUACAAAUAACUUGCUGAAUAAACUUACGAUUUGAAGGAAGAUAUAUGAGAAAAAACUUGCUGAAUGCUGAAAGCAAAAUUGUGGAAUAAUGAUUUUUUUUCAUUACAUUGCUAUAAAGAACACAGCUUUUCAGACAUUAUUUUUACUACUGAGAUGAGAUAAGAUUGACCAUCUAACUCUUCCCUUUGAGAUGUAGAAACAAUGCAAAGUUGAGAUUUAUUUAUACCAAAGGCUUCCAAACUCUGAUCGUGAAUGGCUUAAGAAGAUUGUCCGCAACAAAGUAGUAGCAAGUGUUGAUGCUCUUCUCAAUGAAAUAAAACCAUGCUCGCCGCCAGUCUGGGUUUAUGUACAAAACUGCAGCUAUUCCCAACAACACAUGAUGUACGUCACAACAAAGCUCACACAGAAAACUUGUGCAUCAAUGAUGACACUACUCUCUUCUUUCUCAUCAGUAGAAGGCCCAGGUGGUGGUGGUGGUGGUACUUCUUUGGUACAGCUGUUAAGCAGUGGUGGUCCACAAAGUAAGGGAUUUCCCUCGUAGCUACUCUUAUUGAAUGUUGAGAAUUGUGCAACCAUCUCAGGAGCCUUACCAGACAGGUUAUUGUUGGCUACACUAAAAUAGGCAAGAAAAUGCAAUUGUACAAGUUGAGGAGGGAUUUCCCCAUUCAAGCUGUUAUUGGAAAGGUCCAUGCUCUCAACUUCACUCAAAUUUGAAAGAGUUUGUGGGAUUGAGCCUCUUAAAUGAUUGUUGGACAGGUUCAAUACACGAAUGUGGUGGAUAUUCCAAAUUUCAGGAGGAAUCGCACCUGACAAACUGUUGCAGGAGAGAUCCAAUCCGGUCAUGUAGUACAAAAUACUUGGCGGAUAAGAAUAAGACAGACUCUUUGUUGCAAUAACCAAUGGUUCUCGAAGAUUACUGAACCAAAAAACGCUUUUAAAUCUUAGGCAAGGUAGAAUAUGACCAGAAAAAGUUUUAUGAGAAAGAUCAAUGAACAUUAAUUUGUUCAACUUGCACAAUUGCGUGGGUAUACUGCCAUCAAGAUUAUUAUAACCCAAGAGAAGAAAGCUUAGUUGGGAAAACUCACCAAUCCAUUUUGGAAUGCUACCAGUCAAAUGAUUAUGGCUAAGAUCCAACGUUAUUAGCUCCAAGGAUUUCUGAAAUGCAUGUUCUAGGGAUCCUUGUAGCAUAUUUCGUGACAGAUAAACAUGCAAGAGGUGUGAAGAGUUAAAGAAAGAUGGUAAGGUUCUAGAGAUGUUGUUAUUUGAGAGGUCCAAAACUUGAAGAUACAACAGAAAGUCAAAUGAAGAGGGAACGCGACCACUGAAGUGGUUAUCAGACAUGUUUAAAAAUGUUAAACUUGGAAAAUAUGAUCCUAUGUCUCUAGGAAUGUGGCUUUCGAAGUUAUUGUUAGAAAUAUCUAAUUCAGACAAAUUCUGAUGAGGAUGAAUUGGCAAUUGAAAAGUCCCUGAAAGAGAAUUGUUGACCAAAUGGAGUUCAUUUAGGUUUGUGUUGUUCUCUAACAACCAAAUAGGAAACCCUCCCCUCAAUUUCAGGUUAGAAAAAUGAAUUUCUUGGAGGCUGUAUUGAUGGAGGAGGAAUUUGGGAAAGGAAAAUGCUCCACCAUAUCCAUUGCCAGAUAAACUAAGAGGCUCUACUUGGAACUUUAGGGCCAAAUUAUGCCCCUCAAAUUCUUCAACAUAUAUUUCGUUAUUGCUACCAUUGAAAUACUUGAGUUGUGAAUGGUUGAGAAAUGAGCUCAAUGAGACGGGAUCUGAAAGUGGUUGUCUGAAAGUGAUAACUCUCGGAUGGAUGUGAGACUUGUAAGAGGAGAGAAGGAAAUGUUCCAAUAAAGUUAUUGAAGACAAUAUAAUCCUUGAAGGGAUGUCAAAUUUGCCAAACACCAAGGGCAAAGCACCACUGAGAUCAUUCCCGCUGAUAUCUAGAUUUUGGAGAUGCUUUAACUGACAUAUGGCCUGAGAAUUUAUUGAUUCAAAAAUUUUAGUCAGAGAAGAAGCAGAACGCCUAAGGAGGGAAAGGUGGUCAGACUUACCUUGGGCUUUAGGGAUGGAGCCAUUGAGUCGACACCUCAAGCUUAAACUCUUUAGAGUAGUAAUCUUCCCGACUUUGCAGAAAGCUAUUAUCGACAGUGGAGGAAACUCAAAUCCAACUCUUCUAAAUUCUUGAGAGAAGCCAAGUCUACAAUAAUCAAACCCACAAGAAAUUAUGUUCGGUAUUCAAGAGCCGGAUAAUGAUAAGGAAACAAGAUUAUGAAACCAACAAGAAGCUCCAUUAUAAUGUCCCUGCUACAAUCAAUUAAAUUGCUAUAACUAGGAAAAUAUGAUUUAAAGCACGUUUACAAAGAAAAAAAGAACAAUUAACAGAUAUUUAGGAUCGCUUUUAGGCAUCAGUACCACAAAUUACCUUUAUCUAAUGUUGUUCCGAAACUUCCUUCAAGAUUAUUCUCAGCCAAAGAAAGGGUCCUGAGGUUUGGGAAUUUCGUCAACGAUUGCAGCAAUGUAAAUGGAAGAGCUCUUCCAUUUGAGGUGCUAUUAGAUAAUGAAAUGCGGCUUACAUUUUCAAAACCUCUAGUAUCUAUAGGGGACAGCAGAAGUAAAACAAGUUUUAAAACCUUCUGAGCUUUUAUUCCAGAGCAAAAUCAUCCUCGAAAAUACAAUUCAAUUAAUGAGAUUUUAGGUUGAUCAAGAGGUAAAGCUACCAUCAAUCCGUGUGGAAAGCAAUCAAUACCUUUGGAAAACACAAAUUUGUCAAUCUCGUUUCCCGCUAGAUCCAGGCUCUCUAAGUUGAUCAAAGCAUCCAGUUCUAGGUUGUCGGAAAACAGAAAUUUAAUAUUACGUCACAACAAAAAUCACAUAUUGGUUUCUAGGAAUCGAAAAAGGUGAGGUUACCAGUCACAUUGAAUGAUCCUUUCAGUUGGUUGUACGCUAUAUCCAGGUAUUUAAGAGAUGAAAGACCCUUGAGGGAUGAUAAGGUACUAUCAUUGAAGCGAUUACCAUUCAAACCAAGUUCUUCCAGAUUUCUUAACCUCGGUAAGUCGUCACCAGUACCUAUAAAAAUACCAUAAGCUUUCAUGUAACCUGAAAGGAUAAUGGAGUACUUAUGUGUGAAAACAAAUGCUCAGUCAACUCACAACUCUUUCAUACCAUGAAUGGAUUUAAAGCUUUCAAUUUCAUUGCCACCAAACUCCAACCACCACAAGCUUGUUAGAUUAUUCAGUUCUGGCCAAAUAUAAUUGUACCAAGUACAACAAUUAAAAAAAGGGCAGUAAUUAACAUGGCUUUAUUUGAGAAAGAAAAGGAGAGAAGUGAUCAAGCUUAAUUACCAUCAACACUAAUUGCUCCUUUGAGUUGGUUACCAUAUAGAUACAGGGUUCUCAAAGAGGAAAGCCGACCAAGGGAUGAAAGGAUGCUGUUGUCGAAUUUGUUUUCGGCUAAAUCGAGAACCUCCAAGCUGUCAAGUCCUGAUAGUCUUUCAAAACUUGCAUGGGCAUUUCAAUCAGUAGCUUGAAAAAUAUAGAAUCUAUUCUUUUCUUUUUUUCCUGUUGAAAUUGCAUUAGCACGCAAACAAGAGAUAAACCUUCAUUCUCAACACAGCCAACUAUAAAAUUUCCACUUAAAUCAAGAGAUUGCAGUUCUUGGAAGGGACGAAACAAAGAGACAUUUAGGUACAAAUCUCCCAAUCCCUCUUCCCUUAUGCGUGAAAGAUCAAGUACGACAACUCGUCCUGUAGUGAAAUUGCAGUGAACGCGUUCCCAAGUACAACAGUCGGCUCCUUUUCCCCAAGAUUGAAGGAAGAUUGAGUAAUUAAAGGAGCUUUUAAUCCGCAAGAGAGCACUUCUCUCUUCGUCUAAACAGCCGUGACAUGACCACCAGCUUUCUGACAAAACCAUAGCAUAAAUCAUCAGUGUCCCUGCUAAAGAAGAGAACCUGUUUAAACCCAUAUGCACUUCUCUCUUAUGUACCGAUAUUUUUUAUUGUCAUUCCAAGGCAAAGUGAAAAGUAAAAGGAACGUAAUAGAGGGGGGCAAUAUGCAUGAUGACGGAAUUUCCUGGCACUAUGGAUGAUGAUCUUUCUGCUGUGUUCUCUCUUCCUCCAAACACAAAUGGCACCACCACCCUGGUAAUAAAACCAUGAAGAUCAGCUUUAUCACUACUACAGAGAACCUGCUUAACCCAUUUGAAAUACUUGAUGAAUUAAAUUGUAUUCCACUGGCUUUGUACAAGCUGCUCUUUAUACUAUAAGACGAAUCAACACACUCGAUCUUAUGAUUGUUGUUGCUGUAGUAGCAGAUCGAUUUAAUUUACUGUUGUCUUUUACAAUGAAAACGUUGAGAAAGUGUUCGUUCAUGAAUUGUAAUAAACAGCCCACUUGUAUGGCACUGGAAUUCAAUUCCACGCUAUCGAUCCUGUGGUUUGGAUGGAAUUGGUCGUCGUCAUCACAUGAUUUUCCAUAUGUAAUAAAGUCUCCUUUAUUUGGCUUAUUGUCCCAUUGAUUCUUCGAGGAAAUUCCCAAGUUUUUGCUUUACAUCAAUAUUAAUUCAAUGGCUGGUAACACACAUGACUCUCGUCUCUCUGUUUCGUUCCUUUUACUUUUCACCAUGGUUUUUGAACCCUAUCCAAGGUUGAUCUGGAGCAAAUCCUGGAUUGUGGGUUAGGUGAAACUUGAGAAGGUUAUUUAUCAAGAAAUUCUCAAAUCCUACCAAUGUCUAUUCUAACUUAGCAACAUCGUCUUUUUAUUUGUUAAUAAUAUAUUUAAAUACAAAACAAGAUUCAAAUUAAUUUAAAUAAUAUAGUUAAAUGAAAACAAGAUUUCAAUUAAUUUCACUCUUUCUUUCAUUUUUAUUUUCAAAACCUUCACCAUUCUAAUCCUUCUCAGCUAUCAUGUCUCCCUUCUUUGAUAUUGUUAUCAAAUAGCAAAAGUGCAAAUAAUCAUGCUCUUGGAGAUAUCAAAAUUAUCCUACAAAUCAACAAUUCCAUUCAUAUAGGAUUUUAAAUUUUCUUGUUUCAAGAUUUGUUAGAUUAGUGUUAGAUUUGUUAUUGGACGGUAUGAAACAUUAGUUUAGUCAAACUUGAACCGAUUCAUAAUAAAAUUUUUAAAAAGCAUUCACUGUGGCUAUUAAAAACAUGUUUGUUUUUGUAUUUUUUUUUUUUAAAAAAACAGAGAGACCAAUUUGCCAACAAGCUAUAAUAAUAGAACCCACAGGUUGAUUGAUGAAACCCUGACCCCAAGAUCUGGGGACAGCUGAAGAACACCUUGAAAAAUCUUGCAUUUUACUCAUACUUUUUACAAGAGACAAAUGAACUGGUCAUCACGCGCGACAUGUUCCCUACGGCUGAAAAUUGGAUUUCAAUAAAUAUCUUCCCUUAUAUAGUAAUAACAACAACUAAAACAUAUAUAACAUUCACUAUUUUAAAAAAUAGUUAUUAUGGAUUGCGUUGUUUAUUUUGAAUAAUGAUUCUUUUCCAGAGCAUUCACACAAAAUAAAUUCCAGAGCUACUCUGUUACAAUUGACAUUUCCUCGAAUUAUAACACGGGGUAAAUGAAAACUUUUCCAUUUUCUGCCUUGUUCAACAGAUACUCCUACAAAUAAACUACACUAAGUUGCAUGCCUUGGGUUUGUCUUAGGUAUAUCCAAACUACAUUUAUUUAUACCAAAGGCUUCCAAACUCUGAUUCUGAAUGGCUUAAGAAGAUUGUCCGCAACAAAGUAGUAGCAAGUGUUGAUGCUCUUCUCAAUGAAAUAAAACCAUGCUCGCCGCCAGUCUGGGUCUACGUACAAAACUGCAGCUAUUCCCAAUAGCACCAUGAUGUACGUCAAAACAAAGCUCACACAGAAAACUUGUGCAUCAAUGAUGACGCUACUCUCUUCUUUCUCAUCAGUAGAAGGCCCAGGUGGUGGUACUUCUUUGGUGCAGCUGUUAAGCAGUGGUGGUCCACAAAGUAAGGGAUUUCCCUCGUAGCUGCUCUUAUCGAAUGUUGAGAAUGCUGCAACCAUCUCAGGAGUCUUACCAAAGAGGUUAUUGUUGGCUACAGUAAAAUAGACAAGAUAAUGCAAUUGUACAAGUUGAGGAGGGAUUUCCCCAUUCAAACUGUUAUUGGAAAGGUCCAUGCUCUCAACAUCACUCAAAUUUGAAAGAGUUUGUGGGAUUGAGCCUCUUAAAUGAUUGUUGGACAGGUUCAAUACAAGAAUGUGGUUGAGAUUCCCAAUUUCAGGAGGAAUCGCACCUGACAAACUGUUGCAGGAGAGAUCCAAUCCGGUCAUGUAGUACAAAAUACUUGGUGGAUAAGAAUAAGACAGACUCUUUGUUGCAAUAACCAAUGGUUCUCGAAGAUCAAUCUCAUAAAGAUUUUCUCCACGGCGGAUGAACCGAAUAAUGCUUAUAAAUCUUAGGCAAGGUAGAAUAUGACCAGAAAAAUCAUUAUGAGAAAGAUCAACGAACAUUAAUUUGUUCAACUUGCACAAUUGCAAGGGUAUACUGCUAUCAAGAUUAUUAUAACCCAAGAGAAGAAAGCUCAAUUGGGAAAACUCACCAAUCCAUUUUGGAAUGCUACCAGUCAAAUGAUUAUGGCUAAGAUCCAACGUUAUUAGCUCAAAGGAUUUCUGAAAUGCAUGUUCUAGGGAUCCUUGUAGCAUAUUUCGUGAUAGAUAAACAUGCAGGAGGUUUGAAGAGUUAAAGAAAUAUGGUAAGGUUCCAGAGAUGUUGUUAUUUGAGAGGUCCAAAACUUGAAGAUUCAACAGAAAGUCAAAUGAAGAGGGAACGCGACCACUGAAGUGGUUAUCAGACAUGGAUAAAAAUGUUAAACUUGGAAAAAAUGAUCCUAUUUCUCUAGGAAUGUGGCUUUCGAAGUUAUUGUUAGAAAUAUCUAAUUCAGACAAAUUCUGAUGAGGAUGAAUUGGCAAUUGAAAAGUCCCUGAAAGAGAAUUGUUGACCAAAUGGAGUUCAUUUAGGUUUGUGUUGUUCUCUAACAACCAAAAAGGAAACCCUCCCCUCAAUUUCAGGUUAGAAAAAUGAAUUUCUUGGAGGUUGUAU
rnacentral:lncRNA from 1 species